rnacentral:lncRNA from 1 species
UUUAUUUUAAGUGUAAAUUUAUUUAAUGAAAAUAUUAAUUUAAAAUCUCUACAAUAAAUAAAAUUUAUUAUUAAAAUAAAUAUAAUAAAUUUACAUAUUUAAAUUUAUUCAAAAAUUAAAAUAUUUUAAUAUUGUUGGUCUACUGCAUAGAUUACAUUAUAUUUGUAUUUAUUAAAAAUUUUAAAGUCAACUUUUUCAGGAAUAAUAGAGGUAAAAGGUAUAAUGGUCAAAGGGGAUAUUGAUGUCCUUUUUUAAAAACUUUGGUGUUGGUGAUUGUUUCCCUAAACCUUGGGGAUAUAGAUGUCCUUUUUCCUUUUUUUAUUUUUCCAUUUCACAUACCAUAACCCCCAUUCACGUUUAAAGUAAAGCUUCCCGAUUGUGAGGGGAAUCGAUCUCAACUAAGCUAUGUGAGCUUAGAUGGAUUAGAAUUUUUACCAUUCAAUUGUGUGUUUUUUCUGGAAUGAUUGGACAUUGGUGAUGAAAUUAAGUAUUAAAAAUUUAUCAAGGAACAAAGUAGUAAAAAUAAAUUCAAGAAACUGUGUUUUCUGUAGCAGAUGUGAGAUCCUAACAGGACAUUUGGAUUUUUUUUUUUAAACAAGCCAUAAUAAAUUAAACUUACAAAAUUUUAGUGAAUUAAUAAUUUUUGAUAUUUAAGUAAAUUAACUUUCUGAAAAUUUUAAUAAUUCACAAAUGCCCUAAAACUUAUCGAAUGUUUGGCAAGGGUUUACUGCGUGGGGAUAAACUUAGUGUACCAAAUUUGGCAUACCAAACGCACCCUAAAUACAAUAGAAAUAACUCGUGGCAUUCCUCCAAAUAACUCCAAUGAUUUUUCCCGAAAUUAAAAUCAUAUUCUUUAGACUUUAACCUAUACCAAAAAAAAAAAUAUUAGUAUCUUAAUAAAGAGGCAUAUAAUGACAAAAUUAAAGGGUAGUGAAAAGACAAUCCCAAACGGUGUGUUAUUUUCCUUUCAUUUACUGGCAUGAAUUUUCGGGAGACAAAAGCCCAGUAAACAAGUUUGUUCGGUACAAUAGGAUCCAAAAAAUCCUUAGUCAAUUUGUCCAUUAAUCUUGACCACAAAUAUUUUUUUAUUCUAUUUCGUAGGAUGACUUUCAUGUUCUUCUAUGAAAAAAGAGAGAGAGAGAGAGAGAGAAGAAUCUUUGUGGAAAAACUUUGAUCAUUAUUCUUGAUUGUUUGUCAGCUUUAGUGGAAAUGCCCAAGCGUUUUAACAUUUUCUGAAUUGUUGCUAUCCAAAUGAGAAGAAUCUCUGAGAAAAAAUUUUGAGCACUAUUCUAACAGUUUGUUAGCUUUAGCGGAAAAGGCUAGAUAUUUUAACAUUUUAUGAAUUGCACAUUGAAGACGCAACGCGAAUAUAGUUUUGUGACACCAAGCUAAAUUAACGAGAUUAACUUACUCUCAUUUACCGUACCAAAGAAAUUUACCCUACAAGUUAAUUAACCAACAAGUAGUAGACGGACAGCUACAAGUUGUACAUUGACGUAGAAGAAGAUGCAUUCGAUACGAAGAUUGAUUUGACAGAACUGCAACAAAGUGAACCAUUUUUGGGAUAAGUUUAGAGCAGUACUAAUAUAUAUCAAGAAAGAAACAGUAUUACUGCUUUCUCUCUUUAGCAUUUCUACUAAUUUUAAUACAUUGAUCUUGGAAGACUUUUCCACAAUAUCAAUUGGUGCAUUGACUUGUUGACCUCUCAAUUGCUCUUGUAUGUGGUUUCUAUAAAUUUGGCAUCCUAUAUGCUUGUUUUCUGCAGCGUUGUUAAUUUGUAUGUUUUUGAAAGCUGAGAGUCCUCAAGUGAUCUUAAUUUUGAAUUUUAACACAUUUUGGUUUAUCUUACUUUGUUUUAUUGUGUUUUAUAAUGUCAAUGGGGGCAACAAACAUGAAUAAAGUAGUUUCUUCACUAGCUUUGUUGAUCCUAUUUUCUUUGCUAGAUUUUUCAAUUGCUGUUUCUUCUGAUUCUAAUGAAGAAGCUGAUGCUCUUCUCAAAUGGAAAGCCAGCCUUCAAAGCCACAACCGAUCUCUCCUUCCUUCCUGGACUAACGCCACCACCAAUGUUUCAUCCAAAAUAAGCCCGUGUGCUUGGUAUGGAAUCAGUUGCAAUGACGCUGGAAGAGUCGUCAACAUUAGCCUCCCAGCUAAAGGAUUAAAAGGUAAGCUUCAUGAUUUCUCAUUCUCAUCGUUUCCUCAUCUUGCUUAUCUUGAUCUUAGCUAUAAUAAACUCUUCGGUACUAUCCCGCCUCAAAUUAGUAACCUUACGAAUCUCAUCUACCUUUAUUUCGGAGGCGAUCAAUUUUCAGGAAAUAUUCCACCAGAAGUUGGUCUUAUGAGUCAUUUGAAGUUCCUUUACAUUGAUACGAACCAAUUAGAUGGCUCAAUUCCACCAGAAGUAGGUCAGUUAAGUUCUCUGGUGGAGCUUGCCUUCUUCUCUAACAACUUGAAUGGUUCACUCCCUCCUUCUUUAGGUAAUUUGACACACCUCUCUAAAUUGUUCCUUCAUGAUAAUUCAUUUUCUGGUUUUAUUCCUCCGGUCAUUGGAAACUUGAAAUCUAUGUCCGUCUUAAGUUUGGGCAUUAAUCAAUUUAGUGGUCCAAUCCCUCUUUCUUUAGGUAAUUUGACCAACCUAAAAGUAUUAGGCCUCGUUGAUAACAACCUAUCCGGUUCCAUUCCACCCUCCCUCGACAAUCUUGUGUUAACCAACCUAUCAUUGGAUUUCAAUCAUUUUACAAGUUAUUUACCGCACAAUGUUUGUCGAGGUGGAGCAUUACAGUAUUUUCGCGUUUCUGAAAACCAUUUUCAGGGAACAAUCCCUAAAAGCUUGAGAAAUUGCACAAGCUUAAUCCGAGUACGCCUUGAUGGAAACAAACUUACUGGAAAUAUAUCAGAAGCUUUGGGCAUUUAUCCUAACCUAACUUUCAUAGAUCUCAGCCGCAAUAAUUUUUACGGCGAAAUCUCAUUUAAUUGGGGGAAAUGCCCAAAAUUAGGCACUCUCAAUGUUUCUAUGAAUAACAUUACUGGAGGUAUACCGCGUGAGAUUGGAAACUCGUCUCAACUACUGCUGUACGGCCAAGGCGGAUGUACGGUACAGCAGCUGAAAAUUUUAAUAAUUCACAAAUGCCCUAAAACUUAUCGAAUGUUUGGCAAUGGUUUACUGCGUGGGGAUAAACUUGGUGUACCAAAUUUGGCAUACCAAACGCACCCUAAAUACAAUAGAAAUAACUCAUGGCAUUCCUCCAAAUAACUCCAAUGGUUUUUCCAGAAAUUAAAAUCAUAUUCUUUAGACUUUAACCUAUACAAAAAAAAAAAAAUUAGUAUCUUAAUAAAGAGGCAUAUAAUGACAAAAUUAAAGGGUAGUGAAAAGACAAUCCCAAACGGUGUGUUAUUUUCCUUUCAUUUACUGGCAUGAAUUUUCGGGAGACAAAAGCCCAGUAAACAAGUUUGUUCGAUACAAUAGGAUCCAAAAAAACCUUAGUCAAUUUGUCCAUUAAUCUUGACCACAAAUAUUUUUUUAUUCUAUUUCGUAGGAUGACUUUUCAUGCUCUUCUAUGAAAAAAAAAAAAAAAAGAGAGAGAGGGAGAAGAACCUUUGUGGAAAAACUUUGAUCAUUAGCUUGAUUGUUUGUCAGCUUUAGAGGAAAUGCCCAAGCGUUUUAACAUUUUCUGAAUUGUUGCAAUCCAAAUGAGAAGAAUCUCUGAGAAAAAAUUUUGAGCACUAAUCUAACAGUUUGUUAGCUUUAGCGGAAAAGGCUAGAUAUUUUAACAUUUUAUGAAUUGCACAUUGAAGACGCAACGCGAAUAUAGUUUUGUGACGCCAAGCUAAAUUAACCAGAUUAACUUACUCUCAUUUACCGUACCAAAGAAAUUUACCCUACAAGUUAAUUAACCAACAAGUAGUAGACGGACAGCUACAAGUUGUACAUUGACGUAGAAGAAGAUGCAUUCGAUACGAAGAUUGAUUUGACAGAACUGCAACAAAGUGAACCAUUUUUGGGAUAAGUUUAGAGCAGUACUAAUAACAAAUGAUUUUGAUGCAGAGUAUUGCAUUGGAAAUGGUGGACACGGAAGUGUUUAUAGAGCUGAGCUACCAUCUGGGGAAGUCGUAGCUGUUAAGAAAUUUCACUCACCACUCCCAUGCGAUCAGAUUUCAGAUCAAAAAGAAUUCUUAACCGAAGUUGAGGCCUUGACAGUGAUACGACAUCGAAACAUUGUGAAGUUUUAUGGAUUUUGCUCACAUGCCCGACACUCUUUUUUGGUCUAUGAAUUUCUUAAAAGGGGUAGCUUGGCUGCGAUCUUGAGCAGUGAUGCAGCAGCACAAGAACUGUGUUGGAGUCAGAGAAUGAAUGUGAUCAAAGGCAUAGCUGAUGCCUUGUCUUACUUGCACCAUGACUGCUUUCCUCCAAUUGUCCAUCGAGACAUAUCAAGUAAGAACUUGUUGCUGGAUUUGGAAUAUGAAGCUCAUGUUGCAGACUUUGGAAUUGCUAAGUUCCUGAAGCCAGACUCGUCCAACUGGACUGAAUUUGCAGGCACAUAUGGAUACGUUGCACCAGGUAUUUAGUAUUUAUUUGUUACCAUUUUGAGGAAUAUUUUUGUGUUAUGUGUGCGGUAGCAGAACAAUGCAACUAGAUAUUUAUCUCAGAAACAGAGUAAACAUUUUUAUUUUGGUCCUUGACCUUGCAGAGCUUGCUUAUACAAUGAAGAUCACAGAGAAAUGCGAUGUGUACAGUUUUGGAGUGUUAGUGUUGGAAGUGAUCAAAGGGACGCACCCAAGAGAUUUUCUUUCUUCGACUUCAUCUCCAUCUCUCAACACGGAUAUAGCACUUGAUGAAAUGUUGGACCCGCGUCUUCCAGUUCCAUCAUGCAGUGUUCAAGAAAAACUGAUAUCAAUCAUGGAGGUUGCUUUUUCAUGCUUAAAUGAGAGUCCGGAGUCUAGACCAACCAUGAAGAUAGUCAAUCAACAAUUACGGAUUUAACCUAAGCUGCCUUGAUUGAGUCUUAAUUUUCUCAUUAUGCUUGUAAUUUGCUUGGUUUAUUUUUCUCAUCUAUUGUAGUUUGUUUGUUCUAGUUUUCAAGAACCGGGAGGCAUUGUUUAUUACGUCAUCCAUAUAUGCUCGUGAUUAAUAUCAAAAAAAAUAAAUAAAUAAUUUCUUGCGACAUGUACAAACAUGUGAACCCCUCAAAUGUAAACUUGAAAGUGUGUAACCACUGUACUAAUUAGUGGGUGGCUCUUACUUAUUGAUAAUGUUAAAUUAAAUUUUAAAAGAAAGGAAUAGAUAGGGAAAAAAAAUUUAAAUAUUGAGCAUAAUUUACAAUGUAGUCCUUGUGAUUUAACCAAAAAUCAAAUAAACCAAUAAUAAUUAGUUUUUUUUUUUUGGGGUGUGUGUGUGUGUGUGUGUGUGUGUGUGUGUGUGUGUAAAAACCCCACCCGAACCGCAAACGUGACCCGGCCGUAUCUUCCGAUUCCGGCCACCCCCCCGGUCAAGAUUGGUACCAAUCUAAAGCUUAGAAGCCGGUCGUCGUUUUCCUGCCAUCCUCUCUGCCGAAAACUAACCGUGACGCCGACGACCAAAGCUUGAAAACCCGCGACUGUUUCGCUUUGUUCCGCCGAGAUUUUCGCCGGUUUUGGGUGACACCACCGGUUGGAUUUUGUUCCCCACGACUCCCUCUUCAAUUUCCGACCAUCCACUGCCGCCGGGGACAUCGUUUUGCCGUUGAUCGGCCGUUGGAGAACUUACGGGUUUGGGAGCUCAAUCUGGAGCCAUCGCCGCGCGUGGCAGGUCACCACCGCCACCGUUGGACUCAGUGUGGCCAGAAAUUUUAGACUUGAGCUUCCCGGCCAGCGUUGACCAAAUUCCGGUGAAUGUUGACCGGCAGGGGCAUUUUGGUAAUUUCACACUAUGAGGGCAAUUUUGUAAUUUCUGAACCUAUGGAUAUGUUAGUAAUUCCUAGAAUUGAGGAUUGGGUUUAAUUAUGAUUCCGAGGAUAAUUCGGUGAUUUACGAUUUCAGAGUAUUUUAAUGAUUUACGAACUCGAGGGUAUUUUAGUAAUUAUGUCAUUUCCUUGAUUUAGGAGGAUCCGUAAACGAGAACCGGUCCGCGGACAUGGACGAUAACCAAACUUGAACACCGUCACUGUGAGUGGAAUAUACAAAACUUAUUUUCAUAGUUAAUUAUGAUAGUAAUGCAUGUUUGCGAAAUAAGUGUUUUAAAUAUUCUGAUUUAAUGAUUUUCUCAAAAUUGAUUUUGUUCAUGCAUUAGUAUUUUCUUAAAAUGCUUUAUUAAUGAUUUUGCGAAUCGACUUUGAAUAAGCAUGUUAGUAUUUUAAAGAUAAGAAAAGUGGAUUCAAAUGUGAUAUGAUUUAAAGUAUGGUUAAAAGGUAUGUGAAUAUGAGUAUAAUGAUUGUUUUUUAAAUCAUUAGACGGUAUUCUUUCCCUCCAAAUACAGUGAUACAGAUGAGAUAAGAUAGAGGCCUUUGGGGCCCGUCUGAACACACAUAGAGGUUUUGGGCCAAGUGUUUGGGCGUUUCUGCCUUUUGGAGGCAUAUGCAUGCAGUAUGAUGAUUACAGAGAUACAAAUAUGAGAUACAGGCAUAUAUUGAGAUACAGAUGAUACAGAUGAGUUACAGGCCUUUGGGGCCUGUCUUAACACAUAUAGAGGCUUUGGGCCGUGUGCUUGGGCCCUUUUGGGACUAGAUUAUGCAUGCACAAAUAUGAUGAGAUAUGAGAUGGUAUUUUCCUGUCUAUCCGUGUAGCUCCGGGGCGUGACGGUACCCAGAUAGUACGUCAUUGCCCGUCCGUUGAGGUCCGGAUAUGACGAGAUUAUUCCUCUGGGUACUUGUUUGGUGAUGAUUUUCAGAUUUGUGUAUUCUAUAUGAUAUUGUGAUAUGAUUUCCAUGGUUAGUAAUCUGAUUUAAAGGUUAAAUGAUUUAUUACUGGUUUCUCGUAUAUGGAUUGAUGAAAUCGUGUUUGGAAAUGACAUGAUUAUUUCUUUUAAAGUAAGAAUUAAAUUUUCAAAAACUACUAUCCACUCACUGAGUUUUAAACUCACCCUGUUUUUAUUAUAUUUUCCUCCCCUCACCAUGAGGUUGCCCCCCCCCUCACCAGGAGGUUGCAGGUACACCAAACCGACCCAGCUACUGUAAAUAUAUUUUGAGCCUUGGCCACGUGAUGAUGUUAGAAGAUAUAGAUGUUUUUGGUAGGAUAUCUUGGUUAUCUCAUCAUGUUGGGAUUGUAUAAUUUUGUUAUAUUAUUCUUUUGGGAUUAAGAAUAAACUGAAAUAUUAAUAUUAGUUAUAAUAUUAUCUUUUGAGACUCUGAAAAUAUAAAACUCAGCAUUUUGGUUGAGGAUGUUGAUCGUUGGAGUUUGUUAUAUAUUAAAUUAUAUUGGGAGUGUUAUAUUCAUAUUUGUAUAUUGAGAGUGUUAUAUUUAUAAAAGAGACUUUACCGAAUUUUCGACAUAAUCUUUACUAAUAGAAUUAUUAUCGAGUCGGUUUUGAUGAGACUAGAUUAACUCGUCUGGGGGAAAUUUAGGGCAGGUCGUUUCAAUUUUGGUUUCUGAAUUUCUUGAAAGGGGUUGGAGUUAGAGAAUAAACGGGAUAAAAAGGCGUUGCCGAUGCCUUUUAAAAUUCGUUUGUUGCCAUUAGAGGAAUAUUAUCAUGCAACACAUUCUAUAGAGAUAUAAACGCUUACUAAUUUAUACGCAUUGAUCUUUAAAAAGAGAGUAAACAUUUCUUAUUUUCUCUUUUUUAUUUGUCCUUGACCUUUCAGAGCUUGUUUACACAAUCAAGAUCACAGAAAAAUGACGUGUAAGGUUUCGAAGUGUUAGUAUUGGAAGUGAUCAAGGGAAAGCAUCCAAGAGAUCGGAUGUUCUUUCCGCAGUUUCAGCUUCGUCUUCCAAUGCCAUUUGAUGAAAUAUUGGAUCCUGGGCUUCCACCUGAUCCAUUAUUCGAUGUUCGGAGGAAGUUAGUAUCAAUCACGAAGGUUGCCUUCUCUUACUUAAAUGGGAAUCUAGAAUCCAGACUAAUCAUUAUUAUUGUUCGAGUUUCAAAUAUUUGCCUUCAUUUCCCAUUGUUUGUUACUAUAAAUAAACACGUGUGAUAUACGUGGCUACUCAACUUGCUACGUGGCCUUGAAUUAGUCUUUGUUGAAUAAGUCUUGUUUGUUAGUUUUGGUUAUUAAGUCUAGAUUCCAUUUGAAUGAGUCUUCCUAUUUACAAGAAACUGAAUUUGUAAUAUUUCUAUUUAUUUGAAGUUCAGUGAAUAAUAGAAGGGGUUUUUACCAACUUCACUUGAAGUCUUUCAAAGGAGGAUUUUGGGUUUCCCUCGAAGUACCCAAGUGUUAUAACUUUAUUAAUUCUCUGUUGAAGAAAAACUGUGAAACGCCAAAAUAGGUAGAACUAAGGACGCAAUACCAUUAUUGCACGAGUUAAUUAUACGUAUCAUGCUUAUGCAGGCCUUAAUUUGGAAUAAAAGAAUGUUAGUUGACAGAAUUUUGCAACUAGAGGAUGAUGUACUUCAUAAUUAGUCUGCCUUCAACACAAAAUAGAAAAUUUAGUUGACAGAUGGCCACAAAAACUAGCUUCGUUUUUGCUAAAAAAGAAAUAAAAUCUGCUUCUAUGGCCUCUGUCAACCAACUCCUUCAAUGCCCCCAAUUUCAAAACUAUCAUAGAUAUAGAGCCAUUGAACCUGGGCUUCAUAUUCAACUUUUCAUAGUUCCAUUUCUAGCGCGAAGCUUUUGAGAGCGUGGACACACUUGACACUAGAUAACCCUCGCGAGACAUGUCCCAAAUCUCCUCAGCCAUAAUUUUGCUGCAAAAGCCGAUAUAAUUAAUGAACCUUAUUUGCACAAUUUUGGAAAAAAAUAUUUGGACCAAUUUCGGUGUUCAGCUGAGCUUGUGUUGACUAUUAAGCACUAAAUCAAUAGUCAAGAAUUUAUCCAACACGAGUUUCACAUGGAUUCCAAUGAACUCUUGACCAUAGAUUAUGUACCCAACACAAUAUGCUUGUGGUUUAAAAAUAAAAUAAAUCAUGUUAAUACUUUGUAUUAAUACUUAAUGCAUGGACAAUCGUUUUCUUUGUGCACAUACUUGUCGAUAAAAAAAAGCUUAAUGGUCCAUCUAUUAGUUAUUAGUUUACAUCUGCUUAAUCUGAUUAGGAUGAAACGAAAUUAAUUGUUUCUUUGUUUUAAAAAAUAAAUAACUAAAACUUCUUGAAUAUUCGAGAAUUAACAAAACAAUUGUGAAUGAAGUUUUGUUUGGUAUUAAGGUAUUGUUAUCUUUAAAUCACAAUUAUUGUGAAUAAUAAAACUAUAAUAAAAAGUAAAAGUUGAUAAUAUAUAAUAAAUAUAACUUUUAAAUGAUAGUUUUGAUUAAAAAAAAAUAUUAUAAGUUUUCUAUCAUUAAAAUCAAAUCAUUUUAGCUUGCAAGUCAUAAUAAUGAUAACUAUGAACUCUUUCAUAAAUUUAUUUUGUAUAAAGUGACAUGAAAUAAAUUCAUUGGUUAAGUAAAAAAUAUGAAGCAAUAAAAAUAAUUUAUGUAAGAUAAAAAUAUUUUAUUUAAUUAGUUUGUAUAAACUAAAUUUAUAUAAAAGAUUUGUAAUUAAUUUGCAAGUGACAAUGAUGAUAGCUACAAAUUCUUGUAUAAAUUUAUUUUAUAUAAAAUAAUGUAGUAUAAAUUUAUUGGUUAAGCAAUUAGAUUAUUGCUUCUGUGAACCAGCACCGAUAUGUACAUUAUGUUAUUUUCCGUCCAAUACGAUUACUAUUAAAAAAAGAAAAACAUGGACCCCAUCGACGAGACCUCACGUGGGCCCACUAAUCUUGAUGAUCACAUCUUUUUCAUGUGAAAAAAAAACACCCCCUUACAACGACACCGUCUUUUCUUUGGCUUUCCUUUCAUUUUCGUCAGCCUCCACAAACACUUACUUAAUAGCCGCCCCAUUUUCUUUCACUCCUAUCCAUUGUCCACGCGUCCGACGACGAUUGCUUCUCCGGUUCUAAUCACAAGAUUUUCGUCAAAUGGACGUACGAGAUGGGCCCCAUCUCUGUGCAGACCACACCGUCUAUUCUCUUUGUGAAAAGAAAAUAAAACUAUUUAAAAUCUCUAAAUCACUCUAUCUUCUCGUGAUAAAUUGAAUUCAACUCUUUUUUUAUCCUUUAUUUAUAAACAGUAAAAAAAAUCAAAAGAAUUCAAUUGAAUAUUAAAUUAUUAAAAAAAAAAUUAUACGGUAGCGAACUUCCUUGCAUGAACAUGACCUUAAUUCAAUUUAUUAAACAUUUGUAUAUGUUACUUUAACAUACUUUUUUCUUAUAGUUUACAAAAUGUAGUGCUUAUUUUCUUUCGUAUACCAAACAGUAGAUGUGUAUAUUAGGUUGAAGCAAAUAUAAUAUUAUAAACUCACACUAUGCUGUAUCAUAUUUGGUAAAAUAUUUAUUGUUAACAUCUUAUGACAUUAUUAUUAAAUCUUCAAUAAAAAAUCUUCAUUGUAUUAAACAAUUUUUUAUGCAAUAUAAACUAUGUAUUUCAUUAUAAUAGAAGCUGUUAAGAAAGGUUGUCUCAACUUUAUAUUAAGAUUUUGUACUUAUAAAUAUAUAGUAUGAUCUAAUCCUUAUGCGUAUAAAUUUUUUUCAUAACUUGGCUAUCUAUAAAAGAUUUAACAAUUUCUUAAUCUUUGAUCAUAAGUAUUAGCAUAUUAUAAUACAAUAUUAAAUUUACCUUAAAGUUAAUUUAUUACUGUCCCCACAUUUAAUUAGAUUCACGGAACUUUUACCUUAAAAAAGCAAACGAUCCAAAUUAGAUAAAUAGUCAACCAAUUAAUCAAACAAACAAGGUCCCCGUAUUUAAUGAGAACUUGAGCUUUUGCUUUAUCUCAGCAACAAGUUGAGUUUUAUGUGAUUUAAGAUUAAAAUAUUAAUCAAACUACAAAAUUAUGUCAUUGAAGAAAUUAUAUUUAAGUAUUUACUUAAUUAAAGUUUUAGUUAACCACCGAGUGACUUAGAUUCAAGACUCUAGUUGAUCACUCAUCUGAGAAUGUUAAUUCACUUACUCAGCAUUAUGUGGCAUUUUCUUUAAAGAUUUUGAAUUGUUUGAUGUUUGUGAGAGUAAAAUUUAAAAUAAUAAAAAUUAAUAUAAUUAUGAUGUUAAUGGGACCACAUUAGAGUUGUUAAUUCAUAAAAGAAUAUGAAUUCAAAUAUCACAUAAAUGAAAUUUGAAAAAAAAAAAAAAGAUUUGUUAACAACGCGGUUACAAGUUGACUUUAAAUUUCUGAUAAUCGGUCAUAAUAUUUUUUUUUUGCGAAAUACUCAUAUUAAUAUUUAAGUUAUUAGAUAAGGAUCCAAUGUUAACAUUUAAUAAAGUUGUGUAAAUUUGAUAACAAAAAAAAUUAAAUUAAAAUAAAAGUAAAAUUUACAUAUUGUUCAACUAUCUUGGAACGACAUAGUACUCGUAUAGAGUUACAGUGUUCAACAAUUAUUACGACCAAAAUAAAAUUUUUUGAUUCGCCAUAUCUUUCAGAUAUGUAAUCAAAUGACAGAUGUUUUAACUAAAUUUGUAUUCUGAUGCUUUGAUUUUUAUGUUUGGCUAGAUUCCAGCCAAUUAUCUUGUUAAUUUUUUAUUGGUUAUUCGGAAAUAAAUGAAGUCUAUUAUUCAGAAAAAUAAUUACCUGCAAAAAUCGUACACCAUUUUCAAAAGGUAAUAAUAUUCCGAAUUAAUUAAAAAAAUGAUACGCACCCAGGCAAGUUCACACGUAACCCACCAAAAAUUAAAAAAAAAAGAAAAAGAAAAGAAAAGAAACAAGGAACACGUUUAUUCAAUUUAUCGCGAUACGAUAAAUUCUUAACAAAAUAUCAUAUCAAUUUCACCAUCAAAACUACGGUAUUUUUUUUUAUAUUAAAGAAUUUUUUUUUAAAAGCAAAUAGAAUUAUAGAAACCAGCAAAAAAAACAACUACUGUACUGGAACUCACAGUCCCCAAUUUCCCAAUGAAUAAAAUAAAUAUAAAGAACUCGUGCGUCCCUACCCUUUCCCUCCUGUUUUUGUAACCCGCCUCUUCUUCAGCUCGCCACUUGUUCUCGCCACUUGUUCCCCCCACUACGCCCACAAAACGUUGCCGUUUCAUUCUCACUCCUUCCUCACACCCCUCCUUUUCCCCACAUUCCUUCGUUUCAUAUCAACUCAAAAAUUCAUUCUUUUAACAUUAAUAAUAAUAAUUUUAUUGAGAUAAGUCAAUCAAAAAGGUGACUCCAACUAUCUCCUCCAGCUUUUUGCUGCUUCUUAAUUUUGAUCGACUAUGACGAUGUACUAAAGCUUCAAUUUUUUUUUUUCAUUUUUUUCAGUCAACGCUUUUGCUUCAAGAUUUCGUUUUACCUUCCUUGAAAAUUAAGGCUCACCUAAUUGAUACGAGGGCAAAGUUAUGUUGCAACAUACGUUUGGUACCCCUCUCUUUUGUCUUUAUUAAGGUUAAUUAUAAUAGUGUCCUGCUAUUUAUUGUAAAAAUAAAAAUGUUAAAAAAUUUUAAAGUUUUACGCAUUAGUCCUACACCUACAUAACAUCAUUUUUCUCAUCCAUUUUGCACCAUCACUGACAUCAUUUUUCUCACCCAUUUUAAUUAAAAGGUAAUUAAAAUUAUUUUCCAUAUAGAAACAUAAUAAUAAAAAAAAUUAUUCUUAUUUUUUAAUUAAUUACAAAAAGAUAUUUUGUAUUAAAAAAUAUAGACAAUCACUAGUGACUAUUGUUUCUUCAUGUGCAAUGACAUUAUUAACCGAAAUGGAACAUGAAGGAUUCCAUUAGACUUGAAAUUGAAUGAUUUACAUAAAGAUAGUCUCAAUGCUAGCAAAUGGUGAUAUGUAAAGUUACAUGCUCCUUCUAAAAUAGGUGCAACAAUAACUAUACCAUCAAAACACAAGGAGUUACAUUAUACUACCACCUUUUUUUUUUUUUUUGUUUAGAGACCCUCAAAUUGGUUGUUAAAGGCAAUGAACCUUAAAACGUGAUGUAGGAAGCAUAUUAAAUAAAAUAAAUUAAAAUUUACUAGAAAUUAUAAUAUUUGGGUCAAUUUAAAAUUUAAUAUUUUAUUAAGAUUUAUCUUAUUUUAUUAAGCUUACUUGAGUUAUAUUUGUAAUUCUAAUCUAAUUAGGAUUUUAAAUUAUUUCUCUUAUUUGAGAAAGAUUAAGAUUAAAUUAGCUACUAUUAUAUAUGUAAGUUUGUUAUUUUUAAUUUAUGAUAACAGACACAAGCUUCUCAUUAAUAAUAUUCAAUAUUUUCACAAUUAAGAUAUUAAUCCUUAGUGGGAUUUUUUUUUUAAUUUUCAAGACAAAUGAUAUUAGAGCUUUUUUUGGUAGCAGGCAGAGCAUUCCUGACCACCAACUCCGUACAUUAGUUCCAUCAAGUUAAAAAAAAAACUAGCAAAACCCGAAGCCGCCAUCACAUCUGCCACACACGGCUACUGCCGCCACCAGUUUCUCUUCUUUUCGGUCGAUCCUCUCUCCCAUCCGAAAGCCUACACGCCGCCAAUCAUAACCCAACCCAUAACACCACCAUCUCGUUACCGUAGCCACGGGAAACUAGCCAAAAUAGCCCCUGAACCACCACGAAAAUCCGCCUCUCCAUUCGUUACAAUCAGCCGCGAUUCACAGCCUCCACCACCACUCAUUCGUCCACCAUCAUCAGCUCUUUCUUUUCAACCCACUCACGCUGCCAACCCCCGGCCGGAUCGCCGGAAACCGAAACCAACCUCCACCCGCUACUUUAGCUCAACUUUUCGGUCAACUCACAACUAUUUGAGACAAACCACCACCAACAUCACACUCAGCACCAUCAAAUCUUCCAAAUCCACCUAUCCUAGGCCAAUUUUUCGACCACCGUCGACGGCAACACCAACUUUUGCCUAUUUUUAAUUUUGCCCCUUUACUUUUCUAUACUUACACUAUUACCUAUAAUUUUCUGUUCUUUAAAAAAAACCCAAAAACCAAACAAACUUAUAAAUAAAUAAAUAAAUUAGAAUUUACUAGGAAUUAUAAUAUUUGGGUCAAUUUAGAAUUUAAUAUUUUAUUAGGAUUUAUCUUAUUUUAUUAAGCUUACUUGAGUCAUAUUUGUAAUUAUAAUUUAAUUAGGAUUUUAGAUUAUUUCUCUUAUUUGAGAAAGAUAAGGAUUAAGUUAGCUACUAUUAUAUAUAUAGGCUUGUUAUUCUUAAUUUAUGAUAACAGACACAAGCUUCUCAUUAAUAAUAUUUAGUUUUUUCUCAAUUGAAAUAUCUUCUCUUUGGUGAGAGUCUCUUUCUUGAGUUUUCAAGACGUAUACUAGAACGAAAUUUAGUAUCGCUUCCACUCUACGUUAAAACGUCAUCUAAUCAUAGGGUCUUGUUCUAGUUGUUUGCAUUGGAAUGCUCAUCUAUUGCCGGCAUAUCUAUUUAUCUGGCAACAUUGCCACCAUUACAUUGAUCAGAGAGUUUUGAUUACGUUGAUAGUUUUUGUUUCUCUGUUCACUCAUUUCUAUUUCUUAGUGAUGAUAUCGUCAUUGUUGUCAUUGAUGGUGCAAUAAUUUUUAGCAAUAUUAUUUUGAUUUUUCAUUUGACUUACAAAACUUAAAUAUUAAAUAUAAUACUCAAUUUCAGUCACAUACACUUAAAUAUUACUAAUAUUCAAGUUCAUAGAUGGAUAUUGAAUAAAUCAAAUUUGGAGUAUUUUAGAUGGAUAUUAUCUAAUCUAUUUGGUUCAGAUACUUAGACAUCCAACUUGAAUGGAUUUGUUUGCUCUUUCUAGCUGUUAACUCGAUUAAUAAUUCUAUUGGGUUUGGUUUUAUAACUCCUAAUACGAUAACUCAUUCAUGACACAAAUUAAUUAUUCAAUUAAUUAUAUUAAUUGACUUCUAUUUUAAUUGAUAGAUAUGUGUUGAAUUGCCAUCUCUAUUGUUAUCCAUGAUUGAUGUUAGCAAGAAAGAAGAAAGAAUAGAAAAUACUUAUUUUUAGUUUAUUUUUCUAAAGAAAUAUUUAAAUUAUUUUCAAAUAGAGUAAUUGUUUAGAAUUUUUUUACCCUUCUCUCAGAUAAGUUAAUGACUAUUUAAACAAUUGGGGUGGAGUAACAAAUACCAAUUUAUUUAAGCGUGCAAUUAAAUUAUUAUUAUUUAUUUAAGGACAAAAACUUAUUGUUAAAAAAAAGAUUUUACAAGUUAAUAAACUAACAUUUUAUUAUUAUUAGUAAAUUAACAUAUUUUUACUAUAUAAUUAAAUAGUUGAUAGUAUGUUUAAUAAAUAUUAUGUUACAAAAAAAAUUAACUAUAUAGAAUAUGAAAUUAAAUUUAUUUUUGUAUAUUGUAUAUUUCAUCUACUUGAGAUAAUAAAAUCUCUUGUGUUGAAAAACAAAAUUAUGGGUUUUGAACCUUGUUCACAUAGGUGAGAGUUUUUUUUUUUUUUUUUUUUUUUUUUUUUUUUUUUUUUUUUUUUUUUUUUUUUUUUUUUUUUUUUUUUUUUUUUUUUUUUUUUUUUUUUUUUUUUUUUUUUUUUUUUUUUUUUUUUUUUUUUUUUUUUUUUUUUUUUUUUUUUUUUUUUUUUUUUUUUUUUUUUUUUUUUUUUUUUUUUUUUUUUUUUUUUUUUUUUUUUUUUUUUUUUUUUUUUUUUUUUUUUUUUUUUUUUUUUUUUUUUUUUUUUUUUUUUUUUUUUUUUUUUUUUUUUUUUUUUUUUUUUUUUUUUUUUUUUUUUUUUUUUUUUUUUUUUUUUUUUUUUUUUUUUUUUUUUUUUUUUUUUUUUUUUUUUUUUUUUUUUUUUUUUUUUUUUUUUUUUUUUUUUUUUUUUUUUUUUUUUUUUUUUUUUUUUUUUUUUUUUUUUUUUUUUUUUUUUUUUUUUUUUUUUUUUUUUUUUUUUUUUUUUUUUUUUUUUUUUUUUUUUUUUUUUUUUUUUUUUUUUUUUUUUUUUUUUUUUUUUUUUUUUUUUUUUUUUUUUUUUUUUUUUUACGAUGAGAACGAACAGUUGUCUUCAUAUGUCUCUCUCCUUUUUCUUGGGAAGUGGCAGCCGUCUGACACGCAGUUUGAAUUUUGAAAAUACAAAUCUCACUCAAACAUCCCUGAACUCCUUUCUUGAGCAACGUGUUCUGUCAGGUUGAAUUUAAAACUCCUGACGUGUGUCAAAAUUUUGAAAAUCCCCAAACGAACUCCCAAAAAUUGAUUAUUUCCAGUAGCCUUUUUCUUCCAUAAUUUCGUCUCUUCUUCUAAAUGCAUCAACAUUAUCACAGGUAAAAACAAAAAUUUCUUUACUCUUUUUUCUGCUGUACGGCCAAGGCGGAUGUACGGUACAGCAGAAUAGAUAUUAAUAAAUGUAAGAAAAAGUCAUUUAAUUAGAAACCGAGUUCAAUAGUUAAAAAGAAAAAAAGAGAAUAUUAUGGACUUAUAUGUCAUAAUUUCAAAACUUUUGAUUUUUUUUAUUUUCCAUGAACAAUAAGGGUCUUUGUUGUUAAUAACCCAAAAAUUACAUCUCAGCCAUCAUGCAAUUCUUACGUUAAAUCCAACGGUAGAUUUGAAAAAGACAAAAAAUGGGGUACCAAACCCCAUGGGUAUUGUAGCUGGACCCUUGAUACGAUUAAAAUUCCUUUUUUAGCUGAAGAUUGAUACAAUUUUCACUUCAUUUUUUCUGAACUUUGUAUCCAGAUUUGCUGCUUUUGUUUGCAGUUUUUAUUUUUUUAAUAUUUUUCUGUGGAGCUAAGCAUGACUUUGGUUACAGCUUUAUAUUAUUUUAACAUAUAAUUAGACUAAUUUAUUUAUUUGUUGAUUUAUUAUUUUUUAAAUAUGGUUUGAGACUUCUGCUUUUGGCUCCUCCCCUCAUUUUUGGACGACGGUAUAGUUGUAUUUGUUUGUGUCAGUUCUGGAUAUAUGCUUUUGGACUUUUGGACUUUUGGCUUUGUAUCAUUUGGAAAAUUCUUGUAAGGGGAGAGAUAUACAAAUAUUUCAUAUAUCUACUUCUCUAUUAAAGAUGCAACUUUUUGUUGUAUUUCUGAGUUGGGAUGUUGCUUGGCGAUUAGUUUUUUUUUUUUGACAGUUUAAUUGGUGUCUCAUUAUUAUAUAACUAACUCUUUUGAUUGUUAUUGAUUUAGUGAAUCAAGGUGGCCAUCAUACGGGGCUUAUUUAAUAUGUUUUCCCUCUACAUUAUUUGUUUAAUUUUUAUUUUAUUUUUAUCAACUAAUUGUUAUGCACCACAAGAUUUAAAGGGAUUGAUCAGUUAAUGACACGGAGAUACGUCAAGUUUCAAUCCUAUUAGGGAUUUAUUUAUUUCUUUUUUUUUAAAAAAAAAAAUCUCGGCAAAGCUUAAAGAGGAGAGCCAAGAGAGCAAAUUUGUUAAACAAACAAAUUAGAAAAACGAAAAUUUGUUAAGCAAAUUUUCAGACAUACUGACGUUAAAAUGUUUAGACACAUUUGUUUUCCACUGAUUUUGGGGUAGGAAAAGCCAAAUCAAUCUAGAACAAUAAAUUUGUAUUUUUAGGAGAGAUGGGGUACCUCACUGGUUUAUUGUGUGCGGUGUGGUGUAUCUGGAAUUCAGAGGAUGUGAGAAGGGGAGAGAGAGUAGUAACAAUGGUGAAAGGUUUACAACUAAGAGAGGUAUCAUUCAAAAUGAGCUUCACACCUGCAAAACAGUGAAAUAGAGGUUAGAGGUGAAGCCGGGGUACCCCAGCGUUCACACUCCGACACUCAAGUUAGCAAACUCAAGCUUUUAUGGUUAAGAAAACCUAUUUUUCGGAGUGUGAGUGUUUUUUUUUUGGUGAAUGAGAGCCUCCUCUAGAAUGAAACCUAGACGCCUUUAUAUAUGGAGUACCUCAGCUGCCACGUGGCGUACCCUUUUUUGCUAACAUCCUUUUACCUCUUUAUAAUUUUUUGGGCCGUUAUUUGCAUGUUCGCGGCGUAUCUCAUCUUUUGGAAACGUGGCGCGCGCUGGAGAAUGGUCCAGGGUACCUCUGCAGUAGCUGUCGGGUAGGCGGCUAGGGACCACUGUCCUUGGGACAGUGUCUUUCACUUUUGGCAGAGGUAGCAGGCGGUUGUCCCUCCUUUUUGCACGUCGUUUGUUAUUCCUAAUUCUGACAAAAUCGAAUAAUAUCUUUUAGGAGGCGGAGACGUUUCUCAUGGUGGAUAUUUUCGGAGGAUUCUCUUGCAUCCGCUUUGCCGGGUACCUCGAGUUACGUGGGGUACCCCCUAUUGGCGAGAAGUGUUGGAGGCAAAAGAAACUCAUUGUAUGAGUGACACGUGGCGACGCGGCUGGACCAGAGGGUACCUUGCUUAGCUUCUUCCCUUGACUAAACUUUGUGUAAAUCUUCUCUUUGUCUUUUCCUUUUCCCGCUUUUUUUUUUUUGACGAUGAGAACGAACAGUUGUCUUCAUAUGUCUCUUUCCUUUUUCUUGGAAAGUGGCAGCCGUCUGACAUGCAGUUUAAAUUUUGAAAAUACAAAUCUCACUCAAACAUCCCUGAACUUCUUUCUUGGGCAAUGUGUUCUGUCAGGUUGAAUUUAAAACUCUUGACGUUUGUCAAAAUUUUGAAAAUCCCCAAACAAACUCCCAAAAAUUGAUUAUUUCCAGUAGCCUUUUUCUUCCAUAAUUUCGUCUCUUCUUCUAAAUGCAUCAACAUUAUCACAGGUAAAAACAAAAAUUUCUUUACUCUUUUUUUUUUUUAGCCUCGUUCAUCUUCCCUAGGCUUUUAUUCUCCCUUUACUCUUUUUCUUUUAUUUCCUUCCUCUUCCGUUUUCUUUCUUUCCCAUUUUCUUUCUCCAUUUUCUUUCUCACGUUUCUUUUUUCUUUCUUCCCCUCUUUCGUUUUUCCUUUUCUUUCUUUCUUUCUUCUUUCUAUUUCUCUCUCGGCCGGCGUUGAUCUGGUGCGUUUUCCGGCGUGGAUCUCGGCUGUUGCAGUGGCGGUUUUGGGCUUCAGACCUGGUCGGUUCACGACGAUUUUCCGACGGCUCAUGGCGAGAUCCCGGUCUGGUGAUACACACGGUAAUCCUCCCUCCUUGAGUCUUCAUUUUAUCUCGCUUUCUCUCCCUUCUUCUCUCAUUUUCUUCUCUAUUUUUCUUCUUUCUUUUUCUUCUUUCUUUCUCGUUUCGGCCGGCAUUUUUCUUGGAGAUUUCCGGCGUCGGUUGGGUGUGAUUGCAGCCAUGGCAGCCGGUUCUUCUUGGUGGCUGCAGCUUCUCUGUUUCUCUCUCUUUUUUUUCUUUUUUUUUUGGCCGGCGUUCUUCUCAGAGUUUUCCGGCGUCCUUUUUGCAAUCUCCGUCGUCGGUUCUCGAUGGUUGCCGCCAUGGCAGCCCGCGUUGGUUCUUGGUUGCAGCCCUUCGUUUUUUCAUUUUAUUUAUUUAUUUAUUUAUAAAUAAUUACAUAUAUAUUUAAGUUUAUUUUAUUUUUAUACUUGCAUAUUUUUACCUACUGUUUUUGGUUGCCUGCAGCUUCAUCUCGCCACGAUUUUCAACCUCGAUCUACUGAGUUGGUGAAUCAUAGGUAUCCCUCCUCGUUUCUCCUCCUUUGGCGCAUGUACAGUGGCGCUAUUGUGCAUACUCUGAGAAAAAUUUGUUUUUGGUUUUUGUUGUUUUUGUUGUUUUUGUUUCUUUUUUUUUAUUGGUUGGUGUUUGCAUUUGAUGGUUGAUGUGUGGUGGAUGGUGCUUGGUAUGAAUAUGUUGUUGUUUGAAAAACAUGUGGCUUGUUGGAUGUGUUGUUGGGGGCUUGUGGAUGUGUUGUUGGGGAAAAGUAGAUGGGCAAGAAACAUAUGGGACCCGUGAGGAAGCGACGUGCAGUUGGGGCUAGUAGGGUUUACAGCCCUCCUGCGGUUUCCCCUUCCCACAUCUCUAUUAGCGAGGGGGAUCGGUCCCUCCCUAGUUCCGCUAGAAGUUGUAAUUCUCGUUUGGAGCCCCCUCCCCCUAGGAGGACCCCUCGUGUCAGCCCCCGCUUUCCUAGUAAACGGCCUACCCCCCAUCCUCGAAAGAAGGGUAAGUCGACCAAGCUUAAGGUCCCAGCUCGUUCCUCGGACCAGCCUCCUAAACCUCCCCUUGCCACACCUUCAAAAUCUAGCAACCCUUUUUCCCUAGGCAUUAGGAGGGCUACUUUGGGGGACUUAGAACAAAUUAGAGCCAAAUACAAUAUUCCUCCGUCUGUCCAGCUUAGGGUACCCCAUAUAGAUGAGCGACCCGAGUGUCCAAAGUCUGAUGGGAUUGCUCUCCAUAUCGACCUCUUCAAUCUAGGACUCCGCCUGCCCCUCUAACCAUUCUUUAUGAAAAUGUUUAGUUAUUUGGGGGUAGCUCCUAGGCAGCUGUCCCUUCCAGGGUGGAGGACACUGACAGGCUUACAUGUGUUAUGGUUGGAGGUCGUGAAGCGCGACAUUUCUAUUCGGGAGUUGAGGGGCCUUUACCAAUUCAAGAAGCCUAAGGGUCCCGGCAUUGCUUACUUCUCCCCCUGGGGUGAUCAUGGGCAUAUCGUUGAGGGGAACCCCGCCUUGAAGAAGGGUUACCGAAAGGGAUGGUUUGUCGCUGAGGGUAGGUGGGCGACAGAGAUUCUGAGUGAAAAGGGCAACCCCGUGGAGGUUCCCCAUUCCUUCAAUGUAGGUACAGUGGCGCUAUUGUGCAUACUCUGAGAAAAAUUUGUUUUUGGUUUUUGUUGUUUUUGUUGUUUUUGUUUCUUUUUUUUUAUUGGUUGGUGUUUGCAUUUGAUGGUUGAUGUGUGGUGGAUGGUGCUUGGUAUGAAUAUGUUGUUGUUUGAAAAACAUGUGGCUUGUUGGAUGUGUUGUUGGGGGCUUGUGGAUGUGUUGUUGGGGAAAAGUAGAUGGGCAAGAAACAUAUGGGACCCGUGAGGAAGCGACGUGCAGUUGGGGCUAGUAGGGUUUACAGCCCUCCUGCGGUUUCCCCUUCCCACAUCUCUAUUAGCGAGGGGGAUCGGUCCCUCCCUAGUUCCGCUAGAAGUUGUAAUUCUCGUUUGGAGCCCCCUCCCCCUAGGAGGACCCCUCGUGUCAGCCCCCGCUUUCCUAGUAAACGGCCUACCCCCCAUCCUCGAAAGAAGGGUAAGUCGACCAAGCUUAAGGUCCCAGCUCGUUCCUCGGACCAGCCUCCUAAACCUCCCCUUGCCACACCUUCAAAAUCUAGCAACCCUUUUUCCCUAGGCAUUAGGAGGGCUACUUUGGGGGACUUAGAACAAAUUAGAGCCAAAUACAAUAUUCCUCCGUCUGUCCAGCUUAGGGUACCCCAUAUAGAUGAGCGACCCGAGUGUCCAAAGUCUGAUGGGAUUGCUCUCCAUAUCGACCUCUUCAAUCUAGGACUCCGCCUGCCCCUCUAACCAUUCUUUAUGAAAAUGUUUAGUUAUUUGGGGGUAGCUCCUAGGCAGCUGUCCCUUCCAGGGUGGAGGACACUGACAGGCUUACAUGUGUUAUGGUUGGAGGUCGUGAAGCGCGACAUUUCUAUUCGGGAGUUGAGGGGCCUUUACCAAUUCAAGAAGCCUAAGGGUCCCGGCAUUGCUUACUUCUCCCCCUGGGGUGAUCAUGGGCAUAUCGUUGAGGGGAACCCCGCCUUGAAGAAGGGUUACCGAAAGGGAUGGUUUGUCGCUGAGGGUAGGUGGGCGACAGAGAUUCUGAGUGAAAAGGGCAACCCCGUGGAGGUUCCCCAUUCCUUCAAUGUAGACUGUAAGUAUCUCUCUUACUUGCGAUUAUUUAUCGUAAUCUUUUACAUGAAUGUCUCGCUAACCUUGGGUUUUUCAUUCUUUUGCAGGUGUGACAUGGGUUAAAGGGUCAUGCCCAGUUCAGGAGGUGGGGAGAGAGGUGAAGAAGUUUGUGGAUAGGCUUCGAGGUGCACAGAGGGGUAGUGAUGUGCUGGAGGAGAGCCGAUUAUGGAGAGCGGGGCUGAUUGACCGAAGUCCACCUGCUCCCGGGGAUGACUCAUGUAUGAUUUGGGUGUCGAGGGGUACCCUAUUAUUAUCCAUGGGACUGGGAUACCCCGUUAUCACCGCAUCUUUAUUUUGCUUCCCCUUUUUUGAUUUCCCAUUUUGCUUUUGUAGUACUUAGUACUUGUCCGGCUAACAUAACUUUUGUGCAUUGGGCGCAGUUAUGGAAUCGACGGGUGAUGCAUUUGACGCAUUUUUCCAAGCGGUAGUGGGCGGUGCUUCCGGAUCUCAGGAUUCGGCGGUACCCCAGAAAGGCUCCCGGCCACCUCGAAUUUCCGGACCAAAGGGCAAGUCUCAGGGUACCUCCCACAGCAGGUCGAAGGGUACCCCUCGCUCGAAGAAGAGAAAAUUCGGGUUGGUUUCUGCUUUCCCCGAUGAGUUACGUGAGGGUGACCUAGACCCAGCUUCCAACAUGGAGGUUUCGUACUUGGCUCGUUGUUUCUACUACUCUGCUGAAAAUGUUACCUUCGAGGUUGCUGAAGAGGCUGACAAGAUGAGUUUGAGCCAGCGCUACGGUCAAGCACUUAGGGCUACCCAAGAGGUAAGCUUUCCCGGGGUACCCCAUGUGUAACCUUCAUCAUCAUUAUUUUUUUUUGCUUAUUUAAUCCUAUUGUUAUACACAUAUAUUUAACAUAUCUUUUGUGACCCGCAGGCAUCCUUUCUCCUUAGCCACUGCGUUCCAGACCUCGACUCCUUUGUUGCCGCCCAGUCAGAGGUCGACAAGUUAAGGAGUGACUUCAAAGCCAUCAAUCUCGCGAGGAUCAGCUUGCUCGAGAAGUUAAAGCUUUGCAAGAACGCAUUGCUGGCCUGUCGGGGGAGAAAGCUCGGGUAGAGAAGGACUGUGAGGAGUUGAGGACCACCAACGGGGAUCUGCUAUCCCGACAAAAGACGAUGGCGGAGGAUGCAUUCUCACUCAACAUGAUGGAGGUGUGGAGCGUGGAUCCGGAAUUAGAGGUACCCCGGGUGCAGAAAUUUGUCAACAAGGCUACGAUUCUGAAGAUGAUUGAAGAGAGGAAGAGGUCUUCCCAGGCACGGUCGGGUACCCCUUCCGGAUCGCCUAGGGUUCCCCAUCAGCUUCAGCAGUUGCCUGCCUCGGAUGCCCCUACUUCGGCUGCUUAUAUUCCGGGUACCUCGGAGUCCUCUGCUGAUCGCCCUCUGGAGACGGAUGUUGGGGAUGACGUUCCCCCCUCGGUGUAGCCUUCUCACUGUGCUCUUGUUUUUUUUUUUUUUGAAUCUAUCCACAUUUUGCUAUUUGGACCUUGUUUCUUUUUUUUUGGUUUCUCGGGAUAUUUUGUAUUAUUGAGACUUCUCUUUUGUUAUGAUACCAUGCCGUCGAGUCCUCUUGUACUUUGCAUGCUUGUUAUUCUGCAAAUGAAUGUUUGGCUAAGUUGUUACCUUGUAAACGUCUAGGGUACCUCUGAUUUUUUUUGAAAUGGAGUACCCCUGGUACCUUAACAAAUAUCUAACAUCUGGCGGAUUCCCCACAAACUUAGUGCAUGUCCUUCUUCAGAAACUACGGCGGAUUCCCCACAAAUAGGUAAUCGAAAUAUCAUCGCGACAUCUCGAUCAAACGUUGAAAGCGUAAUUGAUCCAACCAAUCAUUUUCUUAUUCUUUUGAAGUUCUCUCCGAAUUUUUUGAAUAGAUUACCCCCUACUUUGCUCAAGUACGAGGAUGGAGGUGUGGGUGUCCUCAUACCUAAGUCGAACCUCAUGCCGUUAGGGUAUGACGGUUUUCCUUCACCCUCGGGUCCUCUUUGACCCUCCCUCUCUUUGUCUAGGUAGCUCGGUCAUGCUUCCGUAGAAAGACUACCCCUGGGCUGUUCCCUUUGUUGCCCAUCUUGGCUUUACAUAGAUCGUCACAAUCUUGGCAUAUCAGGUACCUUGACUGGUCCUGUGUUUGGUUAGUCAUAAUUGACAAGCGUAUGACAAGAAUUGCAUAUAACCAGAUGCAGGGGUAUAUUAAUGGCGAUAAAUGAAUAUAACUCGCAUUCUAAGAUCGAAGUGGCGAAUAAUAAAGAAAGAACCCACAUCAUAUUUGUUGAGAAAGAAAACGCAUUUAUAGAUAACGAAAGCGUUGAUCAAUACAUGACUUAACUUUGUUACCCUGAGGAGAAUGAGAGACCGCAAGACCUCACAUCCUUUUCAUUUGAAAAUUAAAGAAACUUUAAAGUUGCAACUGACCAACAUAGGGCAUUUGGGGUACCCCAUUUGGCCUACCACACAAAAACAUUAAAGAAAGCAAAAGGCUAAAGGUUAAGACACUGUCCUUUAGUAAUAUUUCCGUAGCAUUGCAGCCUUCCAGGGAUGCCUCACAAUUGUGCCAUCCAUGUGGAAUAGCCUGUAUGCACCUGUCCCAACGGGUUUGUCGAUGCGGUAGGGUCCUUCCCAAUUUGCCCCGAAAGCGCCUUCGUAGGGUACCCUAGUGUUCUGAGUUACCCUUCUCAAGACCAAGUCUCCUUUCUUGAAGGAUCGAGGGCGUACCCUUUUUUCGUAUAGACCCGAAAUGUGAUGCUGAUAUAUGGUUGUCCUCAGUUCUGCUCUAGCUCUUUUUUCAGCCACUAAAUCAAGGCUUGAAGCAACCAAGGAGGUGUUCUCGGCCUCAUCAAAGUAUUCAACCCUGUGAGAGGGUACCCCAAUUUCUGCUGGAAUCACUGCAUCAACACCGAAUGCGAGGGAAAACGGGGUCUCCCUGGUGGAGGUGUUUUGAGUAGUCCGGUACGCCUACAGUACCCCAGGUAGCUCGUCUACCCAUGCUCCAUUUCUUUCUUCUAGCUUCUUCUUCAAGAUACCUUUGAUAAUCUUGUUAACGGCCUCAAUUUGCCCAUUAGAUUGGGGAUGGGCAGGUGUAGCAAAUCGGUUGGCUAUCCCCAACUCCGAACAAAAGCUUCAAAAUUUUUUAUUAUCGAAUUGCUUGCCGUUAUCACUGACAAUUGCAUAGGGGAUUCCAAAUAUGCAAAUGAGGUUCUUCUAAAUGAAUUCGGUGAUUUUCCUUUCUGUGAUGCUUGUUAGUGGCUCUGCUUCCGCCCAUUUUGUAAAAUAAUUUACCGCCACAAUUGCAUGUUUUGCUUGCCCCUUUCCGGUAGGUAACGGUCCAAUGAGAUCCACUCCCCAUAUAGCGAAGGGGCAAGGAGAAGAUAUAACUGUAGCUUCUCUGGGGGUAGGUGGGGUACCCUGGCGAGCCUUUGGUAUUUGUCACAGCUUCGUACCAUAUUCUUGGCAUCUUCCCGCAUGGUUGGCCAGUAGUACCCCUGACGGAGAGCUUUUUGCGCCAGUGAUUGUGCUCCAUAGUGAUUGCCACAAAUCCCCUCAUGUAUCUCCCUCGUACCUUAUGAUAGGCUCCAUCCAAAGCGGCUCAUCAAACAGUGAUCCUACUUCCAAUGGCUCUGGGAGACCAACACUGGGCGUGGGUAUGUAUUCUGUUGUGAUGGGGCUAGAUGACUGAGCUACUCCAAGGGAUGCCAUUUUUGUCAAGGUGUCAGCUUCGCUGUUCUCUAUUCGGGGUACCCUUUCCACCUUAACCUCGCAAAAUUGGGACAUCAACUCUCUGGUUUUUCUGAGGUACCCUUUCAUGUUUUCCUCUUUCGCUUGAUAUUGUGCGGUAAUCUAACUUACCACCAACCAGGAGUCGCUCUUAACGUGUACCCUUUUUGCUCCCAAAGCCUUUGCGCGCCACUUCCAUGUGAGUUAGAGGAACCAUCCACAUAUAUUUCCCAGACUUGCUCCUCUUCAUCGGUGGGUGGGGUAUCUAACAGGUAUCUCAGAUCACCUUCACCACUUGAGUCAUUGGCGAAUUCCGCAAUGAAAUCAGCGAUGGCCUGGGCUUUAAUUGCCGAACGAGGCUUGAAGAUGAUGUCGAACUCGCUUAAUUCGAGGGACCAUCGGAGAAGCCUUUCGGACAUGUCUAAGUUCUGAAGGAUUUGCCAGAGGGUAAAGUUGGUGACGACUGCAAUGGUGUGAGCCUGAAAAUAUGGUCUGAGCUUCCGUGCGGAGACAACCAAUGCCAAAAUGAUCUUCUCAGAGAUGGGGUACCUCUUUUCGGCAUCAACCAUAGCCUUACUAGUGUAGUAAAUAGGUCGUUGUACCCCAUUAUCAUCCUCUCGGAGUAAUACAGAGCUGGUGGCGUGCUCGGAUACGGCGAGAUACAACAAAAGCACCUCUCCCGGCUCAGGUUUGGCAAGUAGUGGAGCAUUCACAAGGUACCCCUUUAGUUCUUGGAAAGCCUCUUCGCAAUCGGGUGUCCAUUGGAGCUUUUUGCCGGUCUUCAAAGCUUUGAAAAAGGGCUUACACCGGUCGGUAGCCUUGGAGAUAAAGCAGUUCAGAGCAGCUACCCGGCCUGCCAAGCUUUGAACCUCCUUAAUGGUGCUCGGCGAUUUCAUGUCAAGAACUGCGCGAAUUUUAUCGGGGUUGGCUUCAAUCCCCUGUUGUUGUACCAUGAACCCGAGGAACUUUCCCGAGGUUACCCCGAAUGCACAUUUUUCAGGGUUAAGCCGCAUCUGGUGUCUUCUAAAAACGGUAAAGGUAUCUCUGAGGUGCCCCAGGUGUUCCCCCGCACGCACCGAUUUGGUGAUCAUGUCGUCUAUGUUCACCUCCAUGGUGCGCCCGAUUUGUUCUUUGAAAAUUUUGUUCACUAGCCGUUGAUAGGUAGUCCCGGUAUUCUUCAAACCAAACGGCAUAACCUUAUAACAGUAUAACCCCCGGUUGGUGAUGAAGGCCGUUUUCUCUUGAUCGGGUUCAUACAUCGGGAUUUGGUUGUACCCGGAGAAGGCGUCCAUAAAACUAAGCAUCUCAUGCCCCGCUGUUGCAUCAACCAGCUGGUCCACCCGAGGAAGCGGGAAGCUAUCCUUGGGGCAGGACUUAUUCAAGUCGGUAAAGUCCACGCACAUGCGCCACUUUCCGUUCGAUUUCUUGACAAGAACAACGUUGGACACCCAAUCGGGGUACACUGCUUCCCGAAUAAACCGUGCUGCUAAUAGGAGGUCUACCUCUUGUUCAAUUGCAUCGUACCUCUCUUGAUUGAAGGCGCGAUGCUUCUGUUUGACCGGUUUAUUAUGCGGGCUGACAUUGAGUUUGUGACAAGAGAGAGAAGGUGGGAUACCCGACAUAUCCGAGUGGGACCAAGCAAAUACAUCGAGGUGCUCACGUAGGAAGGUGAUGAGUUUCUCCCUUUGUUCAUCCGAGAGGUUGGAGCCUACUUUCACUGUAGCAAAUCGAGACUGAAAUAAGAUCUUCAACUAGGGUGCCCUGCAUUUCAUCCUUCAAUAUUCGAGGAUCCAAAGGUGCCUCAACUUCACAACUGGGCUCGUCCUGGUCCCCGUGGGGUACCCUCGAGCUAUCCCCCGUAACUGCUUCCAUCCCCAUUGGUGAAAACUCCAACUUUUCUCGUGGGUGGGCUACUUGAAGAGAUUUUUUCAGUACUGCUCUCCGCUGUCUAGUAAGUGCUCGCUUUGAGGGGGAAGGUGUGGGCUGACUGCCACUAGGGUACCCCUUUAUUGGCGGAUCUGGAGCUAUUUGGUAAGUGACUUUGGAGGCCACGGAAUAACAUCCACGAGCCGAUUGCUGAUUUCCUUUAAUGGUGAUAACUUCUUGGGCAGCCGGGACUUUCAUGGCGAGGUAGUGCAUGGAUACCACCGCUUUAGUUGCUACUAAGAACGGCCUACCCAAUAUAAUAUUGUAUGAACAACACGGUGAGGUACCUUACCAAGUGUAAUGGGGAGCGUAAUGAUGCCUUUUGGUAUAACCAUAUCUCCGGCGAACCCAAUAAGAGGCGUAGCAUAUGGAGUGAUCUUUGGCGACUCAAUCAAUAGUUGAUCCAAGGUGCUUUUGAAAAUGAUGUCAACAGAGCUGCCGGUAUCUACAAGAGUUCUUGCUACCUUACCGGUGGCAACCUUCAACGUAAUUACGAAGGCAUCGUCGUGGGGGUACGAGAUGCCCUCCGCAUCUUUUUCUGUAAAAAGGAUAGGCGGGGGAUGGUUAGGUACCUUUGGUGUACCCCAUUCAUUAAGGUUGACUUCUCUGCCAAUAUUGGUGGUUAUCGGCAACGAUCUACCAUAGCCUUUGAUAGCCCUCCUAGAUUGGCCCGCUAAAGUCGGUCCGCCCAUGAUCAUUCGGACAUACACGCCUUUCUUGUGUCCAGGGGGUACCUCUCGUUCGGGACUGCCAUCAGCUACCCGCUUGCCUUUAUCCUGUUCUGCAGAUUUCCGAGCUUCUCUCAUGCCGGCAACAAAUUCUUUGAGGUACCCGCAGAAAAUUAAAGAUUCAAUUUCCUCUCGCAAGGUGAAGCACUCGGCUGUGCUGUGACCAAAGUCCUCAUGGAACUCGCAAUACUUCAGGCUACGCUUCAUGUUGGGGUAUUUCUUCAUUGGCUUAGGAGGACGGAGGAGGCCGUUAUCCCGAAUAUGGUAGAAGAUCUGCUCUGGGGAUCGAUUCAGUGGGUGGUAAGAUUCGUACUGAGGCCUCGGUGGUGGCUCUCGCUGAUCCGGUGGUGGCGAUCUUGGAGGUUGGGGUACCCUUUAGGUACCCUGAGGGUUAUACCCUCGUCCCCGCAGGGCAGCCCAUGGAGGGCUCCGUGCUCGGGGUACUUGCGGUAUUGGGGCCUCCACCCUCUUGGGCUUCUCCUUGUUCUUUGUAACAUCGGCCUUAUCUUCUUGGCGCUUCAAUUGGCUUUUUUCGUCCAUCUCCACCUACUGCAACGCCCGGGAACGAGCUUCCCCAUAUGAGAGUGGGCGCUUCUUUUGAAAAGAACGCCAUAACUUGCCCAACCGUAAAUUUUUCUCAAAAUGGGUCAAUGUGUAUUGGUUUCCAAAUGCUCCGGUUCGCAACACCUCUUGGUGGAAACGACUUACAUACUCCGCCAAAGGCUCGGCUUCCCCUUGCUUGAUAAAAGCAAGUUUGGAGGCUACCCUAUCUUGAGUGGAAGCAUAGGAAAACUCUUUAGUAAAUUCGGAUAACAAUUGGUGUAAGGAAGAUAUGCUACUCGCUUUCAAAGAGCGAAACCAUGACUUCGCGGGGCCCGUGAGUGUGUGCGUAAACAUCCUACAUAUGGCGCUCUCAUCUACACCCUUGAUAAGCAUUUGGUCACGGUAUAGCUCAGCAUGCUCCGAGAGGUCAGUGGUACCCGAGUAUUGGGGUAUCUGAGGCAUGGCGAACGCCUCAGGGAGAGCUGCCGUCCUAAUCUCCAUAGUGAAUGGUGAUUGGUAGGUCAUUGGCGUUGGAGCAGCUGUGAUGUUUUGCUUCUCGGAGAGGAGCUUCACUUGGGCUUGCAGGUUCUCCAUCUUUUCCACAAGUUCGAGGGGUACCCUCGGUGUACCCGAUGAUGUCGCCGCCAUUUGAGAAGCCCUUUUGGCGUUUAACUUCUCACGGAGAUCCUCGUGGGUACGCUUUGCACGCCUCGUACCCUGGCUACUGCGGGAAUUGCAAGAGGCGGUGGAACGCUCGUCGCGGGACCCCAUGGUUUGAAACUUAGAACGGGUACCCGAUGGCCUAGGCUUUGGCUUGCUGGCCUCGGGUACCCCUCUUCUGACCAUAGCUUGGUCAUCCGUUUGAGGUGGUGGAGCUUCUAGCGUCACUGGUGGAAGUGAACUUUCGGGUGCCCGAGAUUCGACCGCCCUAAGUAUUGCGUGGGCAAGAUCCUCAAAACGCUUGUGGAGAUACGUCAAGUUUCAAUCCUAUUAGGGAUUUAUUUAUUUCUUUUUUUUUAAAAAAAAAAAUCUCGGCAAAGCUUAAAGAGGAGAGCCAAGAGAGCAAAUUUGUUAAACAAACAAAUUAGAAAAACGAAAAUUUGUUAAGCAAAUUUUCAGACAUACUGACGUUAAAAUGUUUAGACACAUUUGUUUUCCACUGAUUUUGGGGUAGGAAAAGCCAAAUCAAUCUAGAACAAUAAAUUUGUAUUUUUAGGAGAGAUGGGGUACCUCACUGGUUUAUUGUGUGCGGUGUGGUGUAUCUGGAAUUCAGAGGAUGUGAGAAGGGGAGAGAGAGUAGUAACAAUGGUGAAAGGUUUACAACUAAGAGAGGUAUCAUUCAAAAUGAGCUUCACACCUGCAAAACAGUGAAAUAGAGGUUAGAGGUGAAGCCGGGGUACCCCAGCGUUCACACUCCGACACUCAAGUUAGCAAACUCAAGCUUUUAUGGUUAAGAAAACCUAUUUUUCGGAGUGUGAGUGUUUUUUUUUUGGUGAAUGAGAGCCUCCUCUAGAAUGAAACCUAGACGCCUUUAUAUAUGGAGUACCUCAGCUGCCACGUGGCGUACCCUUUUUUGCUAACAUCCUUUUACCUCUUUAUAAUUUUUUGGGCCGUUAUUUGCAUGUUCGCGGCGUAUCUCAUCUUUUGGAAACGUGGCGCGCGCUGGAGAAUGGUCCAGGGUACCUCUGCAGUAGCUGUCGGGUAGGCGGCUAGGGACUACUGUCCUUGGGACAGUGUCCUUCACUUUUGGCAGAGGUAACAGGCGGCUGUCCCUCCUUUUUGCACGUCGUUUGUUAUUCCUAAUUCUGAUAAAAUCAAAUAAUAUCUUUUAGGAGGCGGAGACGUUUCUCAUGGUGGAUAUUUUCGUUUUUUCGUCCAUCUCCACCUACUGCAACGCCCGGGAACGAGCUUCCCCAUAUGAGAGUGGGCGCUUCUUUUGAAAAGAACGCCAUAACUUGCCCAACCGUAAAUUUUUCUCAAAAUGGGUCAAUGUGUAUUGGUUUCCAAAUGCUCCGGUUCGCAACACCUCUUGGUGGAAACGACUUACAUACUCCGCCAAAGGCUCGGCUUCCCCUUGCUUGAUAAAAGCAAGUUUGGAGGCUACCCUAUCUUGAGUGGAAGCAUAGGAAAACUCUUUAGUAAAUUCGGAUAACAAUUGGUGUAAGGAAGAUAUGCUACUCGCUUUCAAAGAGCGAAACCAUGACUUCGCGGGGCCCGUGAGUGUGUGCGUAAACAUCCUACAUAUGGCGCUCUCAUCUACACCCUUGAUAAGCAUUUGGUCACGGUAUAGCUCAGCAUGCUCCGAGAGGUCAGUGGUACCCGAGUAUUGGGGUAUCUGAGGCAUGGCGAACGCCUCAGGGAGAGCUGCCGUCCUAAUCUCCAUAGUGAAUGGUGAUUGGUAGGUCAUUGGCGUUGGAGCAGCUGUGAUGUUUUGCUUCUCGGAGAGGAGCUUCACUUGGGCUUGCAGGUUCUCCAUCUUUUCCACAAGUUCGAGGGGUACCCUCGGUGUACCCGAUGAUGUCGCCGCCAUUUGAGAAGCCCUUUUGGCGUUUAACUUCUCACGGAGAUCCUCGUGGGUACGCUUUGCACGCCUCGUACCCUGGCUACUGCGGGAAUUGCAAGAGGCGGUGGAACGCUCGUCGCGGGACCCCAUGGUUUGAAACUUAGAACGGGUACCCGAUGGCCUAGGCUUUGGCUUGCUGGCCUCGGGUACCCCUCUUCUGACCAUAGCUUGGUCAUCCGUUUGAGGUGGUGGAGCUUCUAGCGUCACUGGUGGAAGUGAACUUUCGGGUGCCCGAGAUUCGACCGCCCUAAGUAUUGCGUGGGCAAGAUCCUCAAAACGCUUGUGUGAAAUAGGUUCUUCUUCUUGGCGAACACCCGUUGAUUGCUUGACACCCUUGCUCUUACUGAUGCGGGCUACCCUUCUCGCGGGAUCACUACCUUCACUACUGCUGUCAUCUCUCAUCCUUGUAGGAUCCCCCAUUAAACCUUCGGGAGGUACGUUGGGUGCCAUGUAUUGGAGUACACACAACAACUAGUUUGGUAACCGUGGAGCACUGGUUUAUUGUGUGCGGUGUGGUGUAUCUGGAAUUCAGAGGAUGUGAGAAGGGGAGAGAGAGUAGUAACAAUGGUGAAAGGUUUACAACUAAGAGAGGUAUCAUUCAAAAUGAGCUUCACACCUGCAAAACAGUGAAAUAGAGGUUAGAGGUGAAGCCGGGGUACCCCAGCGUUCACACUCCGACACUCAAGUUAGCAAACUCAAGCUUUUAUGGUUAAGAAAACCUAUUUUUCGGAGUGUGAGUGUUUUUUUUUUGGUGAAUGAGAGCCUCCUCUAGAAUGAAACCUAGACGCCUUUAUAUAUGGAGUACCUCAGCUGCCACGUGGCGUACCCUUUUUUGCUAACAUCCUUUUACCUCUUUAUAAUUUUUUGGGCCGUUAUUUGCAUGUUCGCGGCGUAUCUCAUCUUUUGGAAACGUGGCGCGCGCUGGAGAAUGGUCCAGGGUACCUCUGCAGUAGCUGUCGGGUAGGCGGCUAGGGACUACUGUCCUUGGGACAGUGUCCUUCACUUUUGGCAGAGGUAACAGGCGGCUGUCCCUCCUUUUUGCACGUCGUUUGUUAUUCCUAAUUCUGAUAAAAUCAAAUAAUAUCUUUUAGGAGGCGGAGACGUUUCUCAUGGUGGAUAUUUUCGGAGGAUUCUCUUGCAUCCGCUUUACCGGGUACCUCGAGUUACGUGGGGUACCCCCUAUUACGCGGGGUACCCCUAUUUGCAUGGGGUACCACAUAUUAUAUGGGGUACCUCUAAUUGUGCAGGGUACCUCUAUUUAUAAGGGGUUCAUCAAGUCAUGCCGGGCACCUCGGAUUUGUGCAGGGUAUCCUCCGAUUGUACUGAAAUCAUUCUAUUGGUUGACACGUGGCGCUCUAUUGCCUUUCCUAUUUUUCCGUUCUUGCGGGAUCACUACCUUCACUGCCACUGUCAUCUCUCAUCCUUGUAGGGUCCCACAUUAAACCUUCGGGAGGUACGUCGGGUGCCAUGUAUUGGGGUACACACAACAACUACUUUGGUAACCGCGGAGGAGGCUUUUUGUGUGACUCCCCACAGACGGCGCCAAUUGUUUUCCACUGAUUUUGGGGUAGCAAAAGCCAAAUCAAUCUAGAACAAUAAAUUUGUAUUUUUGGGGGAGAUGGGGUACCUCACUGGUUUAUUGUGUGCGGUGUGGUGUAUCUGAAAUUCGGAGGAGGUGAGAAGGGGAGAGAGAGUAAUAAAAUAUAUUAAUUUUCUACACAUUAAUAAAAUUUUAGACACAUUAAUAGCUGAAAAUCAUAAAUAAUUGUACUUUCUACAUUGCGGCGUGGAAAUAUACACGAAUAAAUUACAAAGCAAAAAUUUUCAGACAUACUGAAAUUAAAAUUUUUAGACACAUUAAUAAAAUAUAUUAAUUUGAUUCCUUUUACUAUAACAUUUUUUUUGCAAAAUUUGUUAAGGAAUAUGCACUAACAAAUGUAACAAAGAGAAUCGAUGUAUUCUGCAUAGUCGCGCUCAUUUUGAUUCAGUAAUUGUUUUCAUCUCAUCAAAAUCUUUAUAGUCAAUUGAAUUUUUGUUAUGGCUGCUUAUUCUUCUUCUUCUCCUUCUUCUCCUCGAAACCAUAAGUAUGAUGUUUUUCUAAGUUUCAGAGGAGAGGACACCCGUGACAACUUUACCAGCCAUCUUUAUUCAGCCUUGUCUCAGAAAGGCAUUGAAGCUUUCAUUGAUGACCAGCUUAACAGAGGAGAUGAAAUUUCACAGUCUCUUUUGGAUGCAAUUGAAGCAUCAGCUAUUUCACGUGAAAUGGCAAACUGGGUCUUUUGGGGAUUCAUUUUUGAAGCUUGAAGAAAGAUUCAAGGAGAAUUCAGAGAAGCUGCAGACUUGGAGGAAUGCUUUGAAGGAAGCGGCCGAUUUGUCUGGCUUUCAUUCUCAGAACAUUAGGUAAUCAAAUUUCUUUUCUCAUACCAUUAUGGUGAUGCAACAGAAUGUUAUUUUAUGCUUAAUUAAUUACCAGCACCCCAACUAAUUAUAGUGAAACUUUUUGUCACGUAUGCUGAAUUAUUUACUUCAAUUUUAUUAGGCAUCCUAAUGUCUUCCGGCAAGUGAUUUGUGGAAUUGAUAUUUGACAGUUACAUUUGGUGUGCUAAAUUCUGUAUGUGUUAAACUCUUUUAAAAGAAUUUUGACAGAGUUAUUAAAAUCAGCAUUUGUGUGUUUUCAUUGGGUGUUCUUUCAUAUUUCAAGUAAUUCCAAUCUGUCACUCAUAUUCCAAUUUAAGAUUUAUUGUCAUAUUUUCGUGCAAAUCCCUCAUAUUUGAACUUAUUAUUUUACAUAUUUGCUAGGCCUGAAUCGGAACUUGUAAGGGAAGUUGUUAAUCAAAUUUUGAAGAGGCUGGCUGAAGUGUCUCCGUGUAGUAAUAAAAACCCAUUGGUUGGAGUAGAAUCAAGAGUUGAGGAAAUUGAAUCUCUAUUAGGUGCUGAGUCGAAAGAUGUUUACGCUUUAGGGAUUUGGGGCAUUGGUGGUAUAGGCAAGACAACAAUUGCUAGAGCUAUUUUUAAUAACAUCUCUAGUAACUUUGAAGGUUCUUGCUUCCUUCAAAAUGUUAGGGAAGAAUCACAAAGACCGGGAGGAUUAGGUUGCUUGCAACAAAAACUUCUUUCAAAAUUAUUGCAGGAUCACAAUGUGAUUCCUGAUAUUGCCCUGAGCUUUAGAAGGCUCAGCAGCAGGAAGUUUCUGAUUGUCCUUGAUGAUGUGACUUGUUUCAAACAAAUAAAAUCUUUAAUCAGAAGUCAUGAUUGGUAUAUGGCAGAGAGUCGAAUCAUUAUAACAACAAGAAAUCAAUAAGUGCUUAGAAAUUGUUGUGUCAAAGAGAAAUAUGAGAUGAAGGAAUUAGUGGAUGAUUUUGCACUUGAGCUUUUUAGUCGAUAUGCCUUCAAAUAAAACAAUCCUCAUAAAGGGUUUGAGGAAUUGUCAAGCAGGGUAAUAAAUUAUGCUCAAGGUGUUCCAUUAGCUAUUGAAAUUUUGGUUGUUUUCUAUUCGAAAAGGAAAAACAAUUUUGGGAGAGUGCAAUAAACAAAUUGAAAAAAAAUUCCCAAUAUGGAAAUCCAGAAGGUGCUAAAAAUAAGUUUUGAUGGUAUGGAUGAUGACGAGAAAUUUUUUUUUUCUAGACAUUGCUUGUUUCUUUAAAUGGAAAAAUGAACACUUGGUUAUAAAAUUUCUUAAUGCUUGUGGCUUCACUGCACAGAUAGGAAUAAGUAGUCUUGUUGUCAACUGUUAGAGUGCAAUUUAAGCACUAGUUUUGCUUUGUUUACUUCCCUUAAUAUCGAUGUUUUGCACUUAAUAAUAGUGAUUUACUUGUGUUUUACUUUUGUAGGUGCAAUUCUAUUGAUUGAUGAUAAAAUUAAGCUACAAGAUGAUAUUUAAUGAUCAUUGUUCUCUUGGAGAAAUUAUGAGCGUCAGAAGAACUUUGUUGAUAAGGCGUGGACGCUUGCUGUCAACUACGGACUUGCAGUUUUUAGUUUAACGUGUUUUGUAUUUUUGGUUAUUUUUGUAAUUACGAAUUUAAUAUUUCAGAUAUUAGUAUUUUAUUUUAAGUAGAAUUCUAGAGGAGAAGAGAGAGAGAGUAUUUAAGGGAGGAAUCUAUUGUGAAAGAAGGGAGAAGAUUGGAGAAAAAGAAAGAAACCCUAGAUCUAAACUUUUCUCUUUUCUCUAUGAAGAACUAAACCUAUUUUUUUGGUUGAAGGAUAAUGAAGCUUUGAUUCAUCACUACUGUGAGAUCUUUCUUAUGCUUUAAUUGUUUUAUUUUGUUUCUUUAAAUGGAAAAAUGAACACUUGGUUAUAAAAUUUCUUAAUGCUUGUGGCUUCACUGCACAGAUAGGAAUAAGUAGUCUUGUUGUCAAGUCUCUUAUUUGUAUACAUGGCAACAAUAUAACAAUGCAUGAUCUGCUACAAGAAAUGGGUUGGGAAAUUGUCCGGCAAGAAUCAAUGAAUGAUCUAGGAAAGCGUAGUUGGUUGUGGCAUCAUGAGGAUAGUAUCAAAUUUCUGACAUCUAAUGCCGGAAGGAUUUUGUUACAGAAUAUACUAUUUUGGAAUGCUACUUAAUAUGCAAAGUUCACUUAUAAUCGUAUAAGUAGAUGGGUUUAUAAAAUUAAUAAAGGAUUAGCAAUGGUAAGGAGGAAAAAAGAAAAAUUAGAAAAAAAGGAAACCAGUGGUACAUGAUGCAGCAAUAAUGUAUAAUUGCCAUAUCAAUUUAUUUAUAACAGUUUGCAGACAAACAUUGAUAGUUUAUACGUUUAGUGUUACUUGUAUUAUCGUGUCUCUCUGUAAGUAGGUUUAGAUUUACCUGUUUGAUUGCCUGAAAAUAACUAUCUACUUGAAUUGUAUAAAUUUGUUUUCAACAUUAUGGCCUUUUUAUUGAUUAUUAGGUUAUUGAAGAAUUGAGGGCAUCUGCUUGGGUAUGUCUAAAGUGAAAGAGAUCCAUCUAAAUCCUGACACUUUCAGAAAGAUGCGUAAAUUGAGAUUUUAGAAAUUCUAUUGCUCAAUCAAAGGAGAGAACAAAUGUAAGGCAUCUGAUUUCUAGGGUCCUGUAUUUACUGAAGUGAGGUAUUUUCACUGGCAUGGAUGUCCAUUGAAAUCAUUGCCUUCAAAUAUUCAUCUGGAGAAGCUAGUUUUACUUGAAAUGCCACAUAGCAAUAUUCAACAACUUUUGGAUAGUGUCCGGGGGUGUUUAUCUUAGCAUAUACUUGCAGUGUUUAAGUCAUAACAUUUAAUUAUCAUACGUACCAGACCUCUUUUUUGUACCAGCAGCAUCGUUGUAAGCUAAAGCGGAAAAUCAUCUCUGCCUGCAGUAUUCUUACCAGAACUCCAAACACCCCAUUGGGUCAACAUCUGAACACGCUAGUUGUCCUGAAUCUAAGGGAUUGCAAAAGCCUGAAAAGUCUUCCAGCUGGAAUUUAUUUGGAAUUUCUUAAAGAACUUGAUCUUUUAAAUGGAACUGCAAUUGAAGAACAGCCCUCAACCAUUGAAUGUCUAUAUAAGCUUUUGCACUUGCGAAAGCCUUAACAGUCUCCCAAGUGGCCUUUGUAAGUUAAAAUUGUUAAAGUAUCUUACUCUCAAUGGUUGCUCAAAUCUUCAGAGAUUGCCUGAUGAACUCAGAAAUUUAGAAACUUUGUGGAGUUUGCAUGCUAUGGGAACUGCUAUAUGAGAAGUGCUGUCAUCUGUUUUCCAUUUGAACAACAUUGAUCUAUUAAGUUUCCAGAGAAGCGGGGGUCAUAAGCAGAUGGGUUUAUCAUUGCCUAUCACAUUAUCUUUAAAUGGCUUGCGCACUCUACGUAUUAAAAUCUAACUGAUUGUGGCAUCACCCAGUUGCCUGAAAAUAUUGGCCAGUUAUCCUCACUAGGCAAAUUGGAUCUACAGAAAAACAACUUUGAGAGAAUUCCAGAAAGCGUCAUACAGCUUUCUAAGUUGGGAAGGCUCUGCUUAAGGUAUUGGGAGAGGCUUCAAUCCUUACCAAAGCUUCCAUGCAAACUACAUGAGUUGGAUGCACAUCAUUGCACAGCACUGGAAUCAUUAUCAGGUUUAUUCUCAAGUUUUGAAGCUCGUACUCAGUAUUUUGAUCUGAGUUAUAAUUAUAAAUUGGAUUGAAAUGAGAUCAGAGGAAUUCUUGAAGAUGCUCUGCAAGAAACUCAACUUUUGGAAGCUGCACUUUGGAAAGAAGUAAGAGAGGAGUUUUUAAUUUCUGUUUUUCUUUAAAUUAAAGUGGACAAUUAAUAUUUGAUUAAAGUUAUGAGUUUCUGUGGUACACAUAUAUUAUUCGAAAAAAUAUGCACUUUUGGGUCGUGUCUUUUUACUUGGGAAUGAAAUUCUGAUGUGGUUUGGCUUUCAAAGUAUGAAAUCUUCUAUAACCUUGAAGAUGCUGUCAGGUUGGUUCGGUAAUAAGAAGGUACUCGGCUUUGCUUUUAGUGCUAUUGUAGCAUUUGGAGACCAUCAUGUCAGAGAAAAGAGGUGGUUCGAAUUGUUCUGUGAAUUCAAGGUCAAACCCAAAGAUUCGCAUGUCAUACAGAGAUUUAUGGGAAUGGUUGACUAUGUAGAGUCAGAUCACUUACUUUUGGGGUACUAUUUCUUCGAUGAUCCGGAUUUGAAUGGUUUUUGGAAAUACAAUUGCAUUCUCGAGGCACUUCAAUUCUAUUUUAAGGAAGAUUUUUAUCGCGCUGAAUGUUUGGAGUGUUGCCUGGUGAAAAAAUGUGGGACCCAUUUGUUGUAUGCACCAGACUCUACAAAAUCAACGGACGAUCCAAGUGGAUUUUUCUACCAUAACCAUGAAGAGGAACAACACCCCAAAAGACUCAAAUAUUCUUGAAUAUGUCUAUAGCAGCUGGUGUUUAUGAGAAAAGAUGUGUCAGAUUAAUUCAUCGGUACAAUUUGAUCUUAAAAUAUUGCUUUCUAGACAUUUCUUUUAUGAUUUUAUAUUUUUAUAUGAUGAUGUGAAUGACUUAUAGAUGUUCUUCACAGCCAGUUGCUAUUGUUGGGUCCAAGCAGUUAUUGUUUGACCUUUGGUUAGUUUGGCUAGUGUUUAGAUCCUUGUGUGUUUGUGUUCGUUUGGUUUCUGCAUGAAAUGUAUAUUAAAUCAAAUUCACAAUACAUGUAAGCAGUCCCUUUAUAGUUUAGACAGAAUUUUCGGCUCACCAUUACUUAGAUUUUUGGAUCAAUGCUUCCUUAUCAGUAGUAAAUUUUUUGCUGAAUUCUUUUCUGAAAAUUUCUCUGCAACUAGCUUAUGUUGAAAUCUCUUUAGUUUUGUUUGCCUGGAAAGACAGCAUCAAGUGUUGGAGGUGAGCUAGGAUCGAACUUUGAAAAAGACAACCGAGGUAGAGCAAGGGAUUGUGAAUAGGGUAUGGGGUCCAUUUCCUGAUAUAAUUGGAGUAUGACUUCAAAGGACGAAUGCAUUGAGUAGACACUUUUUCCUUUGAAAUGAGGAUCUAAACUAUGCUGCUCAAUGGUUCUAGUGUUAUAAAACUUUGGAAAUGAGUUACAUUUUGGCCUCUAUUCAAUGAUUUUUAUACGUCUUUCCAUUCCCUGAGUUUUACAUAGAACUUAUAGAAAUAAAUAAAAGUUGUUAAUACUAACAGCAAAAUGCUCCAUAUAUCAGUGCAUCUCUAUGAAUACUAGCUAUAUGGGAACAAAUGUUGAAUUAGAUAUAUACCUCUGUCAGAUUGAUGGCAUUCUUAAUCUCUGUGCAUCAAUUAAAAAUCAUUUUAUUGAUAGCCAUUGUGCAUUGAUUCAAUAUAUGACAAUAUUCUUGAAUUUUACUUUGUAAGAUCACCAUUUUGAUUUAAAAAUGUCACUUUGUCAGAUCUCUAUUUGAAAUUGUAUGAGGAUGAAAGUGUUGGGUUAUGUAAUUUGCAAAACGCAGACCCAGAAACAAGUGCUGCAUGAGGUGAUGACUGGAAAUCUGCUUUUGAUGCUGCUGCCAAUGGACCUGUAAGCCAUCGCAGCUACUCUUGUUCUGCAUCCAAUGGUCACAGCCGGCUUUACAGUGAUUAGGCCUAGAAUGGUGAAGUGAGACUCUGGCAGUCAUCGUAAUGCUAAUGAGGUGCCGCCGCCACCACCACCACCAACACAGUCAGGAGGCUAUAGGUACUUCUAGUUGGCGUACAGAUUUUGGUUGACAAUUCAUGUAUUCACUGCAUAUUUUUAGUGAGUGUAGCCCUGUUUAACCACUCCGUGACUCCAGUACUUGUUCAAAAAUCACUUUACUAGAAUCUUUAGACGAGGGUGUUUUGUGUACAUAGGACCCUAUACGAUUCCAGUACUUGUUCAAAAAUCACUAUACUAGAAUCUUUAGACGAGGGUGUUUUGUGUACAGAGGACCCUAUACGGCUUGCUCCAUGUCAAGACAAUGAAUUCAAUGGGCAUUUGAAACUCGUUUAUUAUAUCCUUUUUUAUAUUCAUUAGUUUGUUUUUCUUUUUGAACUAUUUUUCAGAUGGGAGGAUGCCAAAAAUUCAGUAUGUGUAUGAAUUGCUUUGUUGUUAUUAUUAUUAUUAUUAUUAUUUUGACAGUUCAAUUGCUGUCUUAUUAUUUUAUAAUAAUAAAUAAAUGCACGCUUGGUAGCAUCAGCAGUCUAACUCUUAUCAGUAUUAAUUUAUUAUUAUUAGGCUGACAAAUGCACGCUUUAGUGAGUGAAGCCCUGCUUUACCACUCCAUUGGUAGCAUCAGCAGCUGGUUUAAAAUUCACUUUAUUAGAAUCAUUAGAAGAGGUGCAUGUGUACACAAGAUAAUAGGUCCUAAAUUUCAGGAUUUUGAGGCGUGCCCCCAUGUCAUGUCAAAACAAUACAAUGGAUCCAUUCAGGUGGAUCUAACGACUGGGUGUAACUGUGGCAUAGUAACACAGUUGCACCGUAGCCGGAUCCUUCUUAUUGAUGCCACAACGCCAUCUGAUGCACAUGAGUCGUCUUCAUGAUUGAGGCAUUUUGUCAAGCACCCUGUCCAUUCUAUCAAACACCUUGCAUUGCCUAACAUUUUCCAAUAGUCUUAAUGUCCAUUUCCCUCGGACGUAAAUUCCAUGUUCAAAUUUCAAGGUAUUGUUGUCUUCCUACAAAUGAUGUUCAAAGAAAAUGAUACCUUUCUCGGCCCCUCAUUGAAAAGAGGCAUUAAAUGGAUUGUCUGGAUGAGUCAUACGUAAUGCGCUUCCCCUUGGCAGUAUACGUAAUACGGACCCUCAAAUGAGAUUACUUAUUCAAUAGGUCAAUUACGUGUUCAAAGUUUCACUUUUGGACUAAUGGCGCUUGAGCUGUCAUUCACUAUUUUCUCUAUUCGCUUGAAAUAAAGGUCAACAAAGCAUCUUCAGUGAAAUUAUUAUCCACCAAGCAGCGCUUGGAAAAUGAGGUGAAAUCGAUUACCACGAAACUUUCAGGAAGAUUCCAACUUAGAAGCGUCGUCACAAAGUGUGCAAAGUCACACUCAUUUUGAUUUAGUAGUAGUUUUUAUCUCGUCAAAAGGUAUUGAAUUUUGUUGGCCUAAUUCUUCUUUUGAUGAUCCAAUCAAUCUCUGAUAAAAAUAAUAUACUUUAGUUAUAUUUUAUUUUUUUUAAUGAGUUUGAUAAUAAGCGUAAGGCUAUUGUUCUGCUGAAGAGAAGAAUCUAUGAUUAGUUUUUCAAGAAUUUUUUCCAAGCGAACAAUUUCAACUAUGACCAGGUAAUUAACAUUUGUUAGCACUACAAGAAAAAUCAUCUAUGACAGUUCUUCAUGUGACGGUUUUUGGCCUGAAGGUCUAUAAUGAUAGACGCAUGAUAAAUUAUUUUUCUGUCACGCGUUUAUGAUAUAUUUGUGAUAGAAAUACAAUCUAUCAACAACUUAUGAUAGAAUAGUGAUAAUUAAUUUAGCUAUCAAGAAUACAUGAAUAAUUUUUUAUUUUCACUUUAAUUACGCGAGUUUGACUUUAUUUUUAAAAAUAUUUUAUUACCAAAUAAUAAAGUGGAAUGUUGUUGUUUCUUACAUUCUUCUCCAACGACAGCGUUUAGGGAAAAAUAAAUUAAAUAAAACUAAAGAAACAGACCUCAUUCAUUUCGUAUCGAUAUUUUUAGUUUUUACAAGUGUUAAAGCAAAAGUGCAAAACCCAAACACACUCUUCUCUCACUCUCACAGCAAACCCAUCACUUGAGACCCUAGCACCACCUUUAAAACACUCCCCAUUUUAUGUUGUACGUUUUAAAAGGAUUUAAAUAAUUACCGAUCUUUGUGGACACGACCCUGCUCAAUCACUAUACACAAUUUAUUUAGAGUAGGUAUUUAUUUUUGUGUGAUGGAUAGAGCUGCACCUGUAGAAAGAACUCUUAGAGAGUUAACUGAACCAGACUUGAAUCAGCAACCACUCUGCAUUCAAUAUGUAGACUUAGAGGUAAAUUUCGAAUUAAAGUCUGGUCUUAUUCAUUUAUUACCCAAAUUUCAUGGUUUUGCAGGUGAAGAUCCUCAUAAACAUCUCAAGGAGUUUCAUGUUGUGUGUUCAAGUAUGAGGCCACAAGGCAUGACUGAAGAGCAGAUUAAGCUGCAUGCUUUUCCUUUCUCUUUAAAUGGACUAGCCAAAGAUUGAUUGUACUACUUGCCUCCUGGAUCGAUUACAACGUGGAAUGGUUUGAAGAAACAGUUCCUCGAGAAGUACUUUCCUGCUUCAAGAGCUGCCAACAUUAGAAAAGAUAUUUGUGAGAUCAGACAACUUCCAGGGAAGACUUUGUAUGAGUAUUGAGAGCGAUUCAAACAAUUGUGUGCCAGCUGUCCUCAGCAUUAGAUUUCUGAUCAACUUCUUAUUCAAUAUUUUUACGAAGGACUAUCAUUGAUGGAUAGGAGUAUGAUAGAUGCUGCUAGUGGAGGNNNNNNNNNNNNNNNNNNNNNNNNNNNNNNNNNNNNNNNNNNNNNNNNNNNNNNNNNNNNNNNNNNNNNNNNNNNNNNNNNNNNNNNNNNNNNNNNNNNNNNNNNNNNNNNNNNNNNNNNNNNNNNNNNNNNNNNNNNNNNNNNNNNNNNNNNNNNNNNNNNNNNNNNNNNNNNNNNNNNNNNNNNNNNNNNNNNNNNNNNNNNNNNNNNNNNNNNNNNNNNNNNNNNNNNNNNNNNNNNNNNNNNNNNNNNNNNNNNNNNNNNNNNNNNNNNNNNNNNNNNNNNNNNNNNNNNNNNNNNNNNNNNNNNNNNNNNNNNNNNNNNNNNNNNNNNNNNNNNNNNNNNNNNNNNNNNNNNNNNNNNNNNNNNNNNNNNNNNNNNNNNNNNNNNNNNNNNNNNNNNNNNNNNNNNNNNNNNNNNNNNNNNUCAAAUAUGGCUGCCAAUGCACAACAAUUUGGCAGCAGACAAGAUGCCACUUCAAGAACGGUGAAUGAGGUAAAUAUUUCUUCUGUUGAACAACGUUUAGAUAAACUUACUUCUCUUGUGGAAAAGUUUGUUGUAGGUAAUGUGCAACAUGUGAAGACUUGUGGCAUUUAUUCCAAUAUGGGUCAUUCAACUGAUAUGUGUCCUACACUUUAAGAAGAACCCGUUGAACAAGCCAAUUCAGUUGGAGGGUUUCUAGGCAUGCCUCAGAGGAGGUAUGAUCCUUAUGCACAAACAUACAAUCCGGGAUGGAAGGAUCACCCUAACUUCAGCUAUGGAGUUAGGCCAUCAAGAUUCCCACAACAGUAUCCACCAAGACAACCAGCACCUCCACAGUUAAACUCCAAGUCAGGUAUACCUCUUGAAGAAAUUGUUAAAUCACUUGCGACUAACACUCAACAAUUUCAGCAGGCAACUACAACAAACAUUCAGGACUUAGAGAACCAAAUGAGUCCAUUGGCCACUACAGUGAGCCGUCUGGAGUCUCAAGUAUUAGGGAGGGAGAUUGCCUUCACAAUCUGAGGUGAAUACAAAGCAAAACGUUAGUGCUGUUAUCCUUAGAAGUAGGAAGGAGUUGCAAGAGCCUAGUAAGAAAGUGACAAAGCAUGUAGAAGAUGAGCUUGAGAAGAAUGAAUUGAUCCUAAAUCUCAAGAUGCGCAACCCAUCAGAGCGAAACCCCUACCUAUUGUGAUACCUCCUCCUUUUCCAAGCCGGUUUACAAAAUCUAAGAAGGAGGACAAGAGAAAGACAUCCUUGAGACAUUUCGCAAGGUUGAGGUAAAUAUUCCUUUAUUAGAUGCUAUAAAACAAAUACCUCGAUAUGCUAAAAUCCUUAAGGAACUGUGCAUCUCUAAGAGAAAAUUAAGAGGAAAUGAAAAAGUUCACAUAGUGGAGAAUGUUUCAGCAGUUCUUUAAAAGAAACUACCUCCUAAGUGCAAGGAUCCAUGUAUGUUUAAUAUCCCUUGCAAAAUUGGUAAUGUCAGAGUUGAAAAGGCUAUGUUAGAUCUAGUAGCUUCUAUUAAUGUCAUGCCUCGUUCCAUUUAUUCAUCUUUGAAUGUUGGUGCAUUAAAAGAAACUGGCGUGAUAAUUCGACUAGCUGAUAGAUCUAAUGCAUAUCUUGAUGGGGUAUUAGAGGAUGUCCUAGUACAAGUUAAUGAGUUAGUUUUUCCUGCUGAUUUUUAUGUACUUGAUAUGGAAGAGGAUAACUCCUCUAAUUCUGUCUCAAUUUUGCUAGGAAGACAUUUUCUUAAGACUACUAGAACUAAAAUGGAUGUACAUAAAGGGACUCUCACUAUGGAGUUUGAUGGAGAGGUUAUAGAAUUCAAUAUGAAUGAUGCCAUAAAAUAUCCUAGGAACAUUCGGUAUUUUCUGUGAAUGUUAUUAACCCUAUAGCGCAGGAAGUUUUUUACAAGGAAAAGAUGAAGACAUUUCAUGAUAGAAUGAUUUUGAGAAAGGAGUUCUCUGUUGGUCAAAAAGUUCUUCUUUUUCAUUCUAAGCUUAAACUUUUUCCGGGUAAAUUAUGUUCUUGCUGGGUUGGACCUUUUAUUGUUACUAAUGUUUUUCCUCAUGGUGCAGUUGAGAUUCGGAGUCCAACCUUUGACAAAGUUUUUAAGGUUAAUGGUCAUCGCUUAAAACCUUUUUAUAAAGGUUUUUCGGUGAAUAUUGUGGAGGAUGUGGCUCUCGAGAGUCCCAAUUAUGGAGAUUGUUGCAUAAAUGUGUCUAGCCAAAGACAUAAAACAAAGGCGCUUUUUGGGAGGCAACCCAAAUGAUUUGUUUAUUUUGGUUUUUGUUUUAUCUUCUUUUAGUUUUGAUUCAGAUUUAAAAAAAAAAAAUUUGUGUUUGCUUAUUUUGGUCAGAAGAAAAUUUUUGAUAAGGCGUGCCCACGUUUUAACUAAUAAGUACUUCUGAAAUUUUUAAAGUAAAAUAGUUUUAAGGCGUGCCCAAGUACUUAUUAGAAAAGUACUUUUGAAAUUUUUAGUGUCUCAAAGUGAUUAAAAAAAAAAAAUUUAAUGUGUUUGCUUAUUUUAGUCAGAAGAAAAUUUUUGAUAAGGCGUGCCCACGUACUUAUUAGAAAAGUACUUCUGAAAUUUUUAGUGUCUCAAAGUGAUUCAUCACUAAAAAAAAAAAAAAAUUGUUUAUUUACUUAUUUAUUUUUUCUUUCUUUUCUUUCUUAUAUAUAUAUAUAUAUAUAUAUAUUAUUUUAUUUAUUUAUUUAUAAAAAAAGAAAAAAACAAAAAAAUAAAAAAACAAAAAUCUCAAAUCACUGUUCACAAAUCCCUAAUUCACAGAAUUGGUUUUCUUCUCCAGUUUUCACCAGCAGCAGCCGCAUUAGUCCUACCUGCAAAGCAGCUGCGCACAAUGCAGCAAGCCCCAGCCAUCACCAUCGCGCAACGCAACCAGCAGUGCGCAAGUAGCCCCAACCCAACCAGCGUCAGCCCAGCUCUCACGUGCAAUCAACUCCAACGCACAGAUCUAGUAGCCCCAGCGUGCAGAAUCAGCCCCAGCCCGCGCGCGUAACACAAUCAGCGCCAUCCCGCGUCCAUCAAGCAAGCUCCAGCCAAACAGUAAUCAUCCGCAACUAGCCUACGCCCUGCAUUCCAGCCGCGUGAAUCGAAAUCCGUGAGUGCAAUUAUUGUAACAAUGUCGAAGAGGAAAGCAUCAACUUCCAAGUCAUCUAAAAAUACACCCGUCGCAAAGAAAUCCAAGAUUGCCGCUCCCACUACGGUUCCAUGGAACACAAUUUCAGAUUCACGCUAAGCCGUGAGACAAAGAUCGAAAAGGCAUGAGUGUUUUGCCACUUGCGGAAUCCAAUCUCGGAGGGUGCCUCGCAUUCGUGACUCAACAAGAGAAAGAGAGGCAUCGCAAAAUACUUCCAGCUAAGUAUAUUCAUUACCCGACUCUUGAAAAAUUGAAUGUUAAGGAUAAUUUUGAUUCUUUGAUAGAUAAGAUUGGGUUGUGUAAGUUUGUUGAUGUUGAUUGUUUGAGUUAUGUUGAGUUGAUUAGGGAGUUUUAUGCUACUUUUCAAUUUAAUAUGCCGAAUGAUUUUACUUUGCAUACCCCAGAUAUCAUAAAGUUUAGGUUAAUGGGACGAAAUUUUUCACACUCUAUCACGGAUUUUAACCUAGCUUUAGGAUUCAUUGAUGAUGAUUAUUCUUCUAGUGAUGCAUAUUUAGGAACAACUUGUGACUUUAGCGAAAAUUUUGAGCCUUAUGGUCUUUGACGUAAUUUAUCUGUUGAUCACAAUGCCUAUGACCCGAGUAAAUCAAAGAGUUCUUUCUUGCGUGAUCCUGUUUUGAAAUGUGUGCAUCGAUUCUUAGCAUAUAAUUUUUUAGGAAAGAAAGAUCACUCAGGAGUUUUCUCUAAAACUAAAUUUAUUUUAUCUGGUGCAUGUUAAAUGAUGUGAGGCCUAAUCUUUCUUUCUUUUUAUUUAUUUAUUUAUUUAAAAAAAAACUAAAAAUCGAAAAACACUGUUCACUAUUCACUGUUCACAAAAUCCCUAAUUUUCCAGAACUUGUUUUCUUCUCCAGCCGCUUGCAGCACACCCUGAAUCAAGACCCACUCAACUCCCAAAGAACCUUUAUGCUAGGAGUGGUGCUACCUCUGAUGAUGAGUUUGACGACGACACUGCUGCCCCGCCAACUACUCUUUCUACAUCCGCACCACCUUUGAGCAUUUAGUUAGAGAAAAUGGAGCACAAGCUGAACAAGAUGGAGCAGAAUUUGGCCGCAUACUUCGAGAGCGUGGGAUUUACCCCACCAUUUCCGCCAAGCCCAUAGACGUUAUGUGGAUCAAAGCUCACAAUUCAGGGAAGUUUUUGCCUUUAAUCUUUUAUCCUUACGCUUUAAUUUUUAUUUGAACUUUGAUUAUCUUACAUUGGGGACAAUGUAAGUUCUUGGUGUGGAGGAGGGAUUUUUGCAUUAUUGAUGUCUGGAAGUAUUAUUUUCACUCUACUCAUCCUUAAAUGAUUUUGGAGUUAGUAUGCUUCAUAUAUUAUUAUUUUUUCUUUUCUUUUCUUUUCUUUCUCACUACGCUUUUCCAAUCUAUCUCAAAUCAUUUACAUCUAUUUUUAUUCUAUCAUACUCUUUCAUCACUCACAUUUUAUCUUUCAUUAUUUUUACCACAUACAUCUUUAUCGCUUAUUAUCCUUUUUACCUUUCCUUUUAUAUAUCACUCAUACCUUCUUCUCAUUCUACACCACUAUUGAUGGUUGAUUCAUUUGAAGAGUGUACCUGAUUUGAUGGCAAAUUUACCAACUUUGUGAGGAUUUGAGCCUAUGAGCAACCACUUUGCUCUAAUUAUUUUUGUUAUGUAAAUAUCAAUCUUAGUUUGUAUAUUCUAGAACUUACUUUGUUAUGCAUGUUGAAACCACAUUACGGGAUUUUAUGCAUUAAAAUGAUAAGGGCAAACCAUUUACCAUUUUUCUAUUCUCGCAUUUUAUUUUUUCUCUACUCGAAGACCUUUAUUUGCUACCUUUGUUUGAGCCUUAACCAUUACCCAUCUAAUUCUCUCCGUCUACUUAACAAUUUUUCUUCUUUUUGAGCCUCAAUUUAAGGAGAUUUUUGGACUCAUUGUGUGGAUAUAUUUUGUGUAUAUUUUGUUGCUUUUUCUACCUUGUAUUAAAGUUUCUCAAUUAGAUCAACAAGCAUUAUGCUUGAAUUAAAUUGUGCAAGGUUCAUUUCUUUUGUUUGAUUCAAAAAAAAAAAAAAAAAAAAAGAAAAAGAAAAAUAAAAAAAUCGAAAAUAAAGGAAAACAAAGAAGAAAAUAAAAACGUUUACAUUCUUGGUGACUUGAGUAGAAAUAAGCGUUUCGAUAUCAUAAGGUUCAUUUAAUGAGUUCAUUCUUCUCAUUUUGAUCUUUUUUUCUUUCAUAAAUCUUUCUUUUUCAUUUAACCCAUUUAACCCCGUUACAACCUUUUUAAGACCCUUAGAGUUUUGCAUUUAAUUCAUGUUUUGAUGGUAUGGAUGAUGACGAGAAAUUUUUUUUUUCUAGACAUUGCUUGUUUCUUUAAAUGGAAAAAUGAACACUUGGUUAUAAAAUUUCUUAAUGCUUGUGGCUUCACUGCACAGAUAGGAAUAAGUAGUCUUGUUGUCAAGUCUCUUAUUUGUAUACAUGGCAACAAUAUAACAAUGCAUGAUCUGCUACAAGAAAUGGGUUGGGAAAUUGUCCGGCAAGAAUCAAUGAAUGAUCUAGGAAAGCGUAGUUGGUUGUGGCAUCAUGAGGAUAGUAUCAAAUUUCUGACAUCUAAUGCCGGAAGGAUUUUGUUACAGAAUAUACUAUUUUGGAAUGCUACUUAAUAUGCAAAGUUCACUUAUAAUCGUAUAAGUAGAUGGGUUUAUAAAAUUAAUAAAGGAUUAGCAAUGGUAAGGAGGAAAAAAGAAAAAUUAGAAAAAAAGGAAACCAGUGGUACAUGAUGCAGCAAUAAUGUAUAAUUGCCAUAUCAAUUUAUUUAUAACAGUUUGCAGACAAACAUUGAUAGUUUAUACGUUUAGUGUUACUUGUAUUAUCGUGUCUCUCUGUAAGUAGGUUUAGAUUUACCUGUUUGAUUGCCUGAAAAUAACUAUCUACUUGAAUUGUAUAAAUUUGUUUUCAACAUUAUGGCCUUUUUAUUGAUUAUUAGGUUAUUGAAGAAUUGAGGGCAUCUGCUUGGGUAUGUCUAAAGUGAAAGAGAUCCAUCUAAAUCCUGACACUUUCAGAAAGAUGCGUAAAUUGAGAUUUUAGAAAUUCUAUUGCUCAAUCAAAGGAGAGAACAAAUGUAAGGCAUCUGAUUUCUAGGGUCCUGUAUUUACUGAAGUGAGGUAUUUUCACUGGCAUGGAUGUCCAUUGAAAUCAUUGCCUUCAAAUAUUCAUCUGGAGAAGCUAGUUUUACUUGAAAUGCCACAUAGCAAUAUUCAACAACUUUUGGAUAGUGUCCGGGGGUGUUUAUCUUAGCAUAUACUUGCAGUGUUUAAGUCAUAACAUUUAAUUAUCAUACGUACCAGACCUCUUUUUUGUACCAGCAGCAUCGUUGUAAGCUAAAGCGGAAAAUCAUCUCUGCCUGCAGUAUUCUUACCAGAACUCCAAACACCCCAUUGGGUCAACAUCUGAACACGCUAGUUGUCCUGAAUCUAAGGGAUUGCAAAAGCCUGAAAAGUCUUCCAGCUGGAAUUUAUUUGGAAUUUCUUAAAGAACUUGAUCUUUUAAAUGGAACUGCAAUUGAAGAACAGCCCUCAACCAUUGAAUGUCUAUAUAAGCUUUUGCACUUGCGAAAGCCUUAACAGUCUCCCAAGUGGCCUUUGUAAGUUAAAAUUGUUAAAGUAUCUUACUCUCAAUGGUUGCUCAAAUCUUCAGAGAUUGCCUGAUGAACUCAGAAAUUUAGAAACUUUGUGGAGUUUGCAUGCUAUGGGAACUGCUAUAUGAGAAGUGCUGUCAUCUGUUUUCCAUUUGAACAACAUUGAUCUAUUAAGUUUCCAGAGAAGCGGGGGUCAUAAGCAGAUGGGUUUAUCAUUGCCUAUCACAUUAUCUUUAAAUGGCUUGCGCACUCUACGUAUUAAAAUCUAACUGAUUGUGGCAUCACCCAGUUGCCUGAAAAUAUUGGCCAGUUAUCCUCACUAGGCAAAUUGGAUCUACAGAAAAACAACUUUGAGAGAAUUCCAGAAAGCGUCAUACAGCUUUCUAAGUUGGGAAGGCUCUGCUUAAGGUAUUGGGAGAGGCUUCAAUCCUUACCAAAGCUUCCAUGCAAACUACAUGAGUUGGAUGCACAUCAUUGCACAGCACUGGAAUCAUUAUCAGGUUUAUUCUCAAGUUUUGAAGCUCGUACUCAGUAUUUUGAUCUGAGUUAUAAUUAUAAAUUGGAUUGAAAUGAGAUCAGAGGAAUUCUUGAAGAUGCUCUGCAAGAAACUCAACUUUUGGAAGCUGCACUUUGGAAAGAAGUAAGAGAGGAGUUUUUAAUUUCUGUUUUUCUUUAAAUUAAAGUGGACAAUUAAUAUUUGAUUAAAGUUAUGAGUUUCUGUGGUACACAUAUAUUAUUCGAAAAAAUAUGCACUUUUGGGUCGUGUCUUUUUACUUGGGAAUGAAAUUCUGAUGUGGUUUGGCUUUCAAAGUAUGAAAUCUUCUAUAACCUUGAAGAUGCUGUCAGGUUGGUUCGGUAAUAAGAAGGUACUCGGCUUUGCUUUUAGUGCUAUUGUAGCAUUUGGAGACCAUCAUGUCAGAGAAAAGAGGUGGUUCGAAUUGUUCUGUGAAUUCAAGGUCAAACCCAAAGAUUCGCAUGUCAUACAGAGAUUUAUGGGAAUGGUUGACUAUGUAGAGUCAGAUCACUUACUUUUGGGGUACUAUUUCUUCGAUGAUCCGGAUUUGAAUGGUUUUUGGAAAUACAAUUGCAUUCUCGAGGCACUUCAAUUCUAUUUUAAGGAAGAUUUUUAUCGCGCUGAAUGUUUGGAGUGUUGCCUGGUGAAAAAAUGUGGGACCCAUUUGUUGUAUGCACCAGACUCUACAAAAUCAACGGACGAUCCAAGUGGAUUUUUCUACCAUAACCAUGAAGAGGAACAACACCCCAAAAGACUCAAAUAUUCUUGAAUAUGUCUAUAGCAGCUGGUGUUUAUGAGAAAAGAUGUGUCAGAUUAAUUCAUCGGUACAAUUUGAUCUUAAAAUAUUGCUUUCUAGACAUUUCUUUUAUGAUUUUAUAUUUUUAUAUGAUGAUGUGAAUGACUUAUAGAUGUUCUUCACAGCCAGUUGCUAUUGUUGGGUCCAAGCAGUUAUUGUUUGACCUUUGGUUAGUUUGGCUAGUGUUUAGAUCCUUGUGUGUUUGUGUUCGUUUGGUUUCUGCAUGAAAUGUAUAUUAAAUCAAAUUCACAAUACAUGUAAGCAGUCCCUUUAUAGUUUAGACAGAAUUUUCGGCUCACCAUUACUUAGAUUUUUGGAUCAAUGCUUCCUUAUCAGUAGUAAAUUUUUUGCUGAAUUCUUUUCUGAAAAUUUCUCUGCAACUAGCUUAUGUUGAAAUCUCUUUAGUUUUGUUUGCCUGGAAAGACAGCAUCAAGUGUUGGAGGUGAGCUAGGAUCGAACUUUGAAAAAGACAACCGAGGUAGAGCAAGGGAUUGUGAAUAGGGUAUGGGGUCCAUUUCCUGAUAUAAUUGGAGUAUGACUUCAAAGGACGAAUGCAUUGAGUAGACACUUUUUCCUUUGAAAUGAGGAUCUAAACUAUGCUGCUCAAUGGUUCUAGUGUUAUAAAACUUUGGAAAUGAGUUACAUUUUGGCCUCUAUUCAAUGAUUUUUAUACGUCUUUCCAUUCCCUGAGUUUUACAUAGAACUUAUAGAAAUAAAUAAAAGUUGUUAAUACUAACAGCAAAAUGCUCCAUAUAUCAGUGCAUCUCUAUGAAUACUAGCUAUAUGGGAACAAAUGUUGAAUUAGAUAUAUACCUCUGUCAGAUUGAUGGCAUUCUUAAUCUCUGUGCAUCAAUUAAAAAUCAUUUUAUUGAUAGCCAUUGUGCAUUGAUUCAAUAUAUGACAAUAUUCUUGAAUUUUACUUUGUAAGAUCACCAUUUUGAUUUAAAAAUGUCACUUUGUCAGAUCUCUAUUUGAAAUUGUAUGAGGAUGAAAGUGUUGGGUUAUGUAAUUUGCAAAACGCAGACCCAGAAACAAGUGCUGCAUGAGGUGAUGACUGGAAAUCUGCUUUUGAUGCUGCUGCCAAUGGACCUGUAAGCCAUCGCAGCUACUCUUGUUCUGCAUCCAAUGGUCACAGCCGGCUUUACAGUGAUUAGGCCUAGAAUGGUGAAGUGAGACUCUGGCAGUCAUCGUAAUGCUAAUGAGGUGCCGCCGCCACCACCACCACCAACACAGUCAGGAGGCUAUAGGUACUUCUAGUUGGCGUACAGAUUUUGGUUGACAAUUCAUGUAUUCACUGCAUAUUUUUAGUGAGUGUAGCCCUGUUUAACCACUCCGUGACUCCAGUACUUGUUCAAAAAUCACUUUACUAGAAUCUUUAGACGAGGGUGUUUUGUGUACAUAGGACCCUAUACGAUUCCAGUACUUGUUCAAAAAUCACUAUACUAGAAUCUUUAGACGAGGGUGUUUUGUGUACAUAGGACCCUAUACGAUUCCAGUACUUGUUCAAAAAUCACUAUACUAGAAUCUUUAGACGAGGGUGUUUUGUGUACAUAGGACCCUAUACGAUUCCAGUACUUGUUCAAAAAUCACUAUACUAGAAUCUUUAGACGAGGGUGUUUUGUGUACAUAGGACCCUAUACGAUUCCAGUACUUGUUCAAAAAUCACUAUACUAGAAUCUUUAGACGAGGGUGUUUUGUGUACANNNNNNNNNNNNNNNNNNNNNNNNNNNNNNNNNNNNNNNNNNNNNNNNNNNNNNNNNNNNNNNNNNNNNNNNNNNNNNNNNNNNNNNNNNNNNNNNNNNNNNNNNNNNNNNNNNNNNNNNNNNNNNNNNNNNNNNNNNNNNNNNNNNNNNNNNNNNNNNNNNNNNNNNNNNNNNNNNNNNNNNNNNNNNNNNNNNNNNNNNNNNNNNNNNNNNNNNNNNNNNNNNNNNNNNNNNNNNNNNNNNNNNNNNNNNNNNNNNNNNNNNNNNNNNNNNNNNNNNNNNNNNNNNNNNNNNNNNNNNNNNNNNNNNNNNNNNNNNNNNNNNNNNNNNNNNNNNNNNNNNNNNNNNNNNNNNNNNNNNNNNNNNNNNNNNNNNNNNNNNNNNNNNNNNNNNNNNNNNNNNNNNNNNNNNNNNNNNNNNNNNNNNNNNNNNNNNNNNNNNNNNNNNNNNNNNNNNNNNNNNNNNNNNNNNNNNNNNNNNNNNNNNNNNNNNNNNNNNNNNNNNNNNNNNNNNNNNNNNNNNNNNNNNNNNNNNNNNNNNNNNNNNNNNNNNNNNNNNNNNNNNNNNNNNNNNNNNNNNNNNNNNNNNNNNNNNNNNNNNNNNNNNNNNNNNNNNNNNNNNNNNNNNNNNNNNNNNNNNNNNNNNNNNNNNNNNNNNNNNNNNNNNNNNNNNNNNNNNNNNNNNNNNNNNNNNNNNNNNNNNNNNNNNNNNNNNNNNNNNNNNNNNNNNNNNNNNNNNNNNNNNNNNNNNNNNNNNNNNNNNNNNNNNNNNNNNNNNNNNNNNNNNNNNNNNNNNNNNNNNNNNNNNNNNNNNNNNNNNNNNNNNNNNNNNNNNNNNNNNNNNNNNNNNNNNNNNNNNNNNNNNNNNNNNNNNNNNNNNNNNNNNNNNNNNNNNNNNNNNNNNNNNNNNNNNNNNNNNNNNNNNNNNNNNNNNNNNNNNNNNNNNNNNNNNNNNNNNNNNNNNNNNNNNNNNNNNNNNNNNNNNNNNNNNNNNNNNNNNNNNNNNNNNNNNNNNNNNNNNNNNNNNNNNNNNNNNNNNNNNNNNNNNNNNNNNNNNNNNNNNNNNNNNNNNNNNNNNNNNNNNNNNNNNNNNNNNNNNNNNNNNNNNNNNNNNNNNNNNNNNNNNNNNNNNNNNNNNNNNNNNNNNNNNNNNNNNNNNNNNNNNNNNNNNNNNNNNNNNNNNNNNNNNNNNNNNNNNNNNNNNNNNNNNNNNNNNNNNNNNNNNNNNNNNNNNNNNNNNNNNNNNNNNNNNNNNNNNNNNNNNNNNNNNNNNNNNNNNNNNNNNNNNNNNNNNNNNNNNNNNNNNNNNNNNNNNNNNNNNNNNNNNNNNNNNNNNNNNNNNNNNNNNNNNNNNNNNNNNNNNNNNNNNNNNNNNNNNNNNNNNNNNNNNNNNNNNNNNNNNNNNNNNNNNNNNNNNNNNNNNNNNNNNNNNNNNNNNNNNNNNNNNNNNNNNNNNNNNNNNNNNNNNNNNNNNNNNNNNNNNNNNNNNNNNNNNNNNNNNNNNNNNNNNNNNNNNNNNNNNNNNNNNNNNNNNNNNNNNNNNNNNNNNNNNNNNNNNNNNNNNNNNNNNNNNNNNNNNNNNNNNNNNNNNNNNNNNNNNNNNNNNNNNNNNNNNNNNNNNNNNNNNNNNNNNNNNNNNNNNNNNNNNNNNNNNNNNNNNNNNNNNNNNNNNNNNNNNNNNNNNNNNNNNNNNNNNNNNNNNNNNNNNNNNNNNNNNNNNNNNNNNNNNNNNNNNNNNNNNNNNNNNNNNNNNNNNNNNNNNNNNNNNNNNNNNNNNNNNNNNNNNNNNNNNNNNNNNNNNNNNNNNNNNNNNNNNNNNNNNNNNNNNNNNNNNNNNNNNNNNNNNNNNNNNNNNNNNNNNNNNNNNNNNNNNNNNNNNNNNNNNNNNNNNNNNNNNNNNNNNNNNNNNNNNNNNNNNNNNNNNNNNNNNNNNNNNNNNNNNNNNNNNNNNNNNNNNNNNNNNNNNNNNNNNNNNNNNNNNNNNNNNNNNNNNNNNNNNNNNNNNNNNNNNNNNNNNNNNNNNNNNNNNNNNNNNNNNNNNNNNNNNNNNNNNNNNNNNNNNNNNNNNNNNNNNNNNNNNNNNNNNNNNNNNNNNNNNNNNNNNNNNNNNNNNNNNNNNNNNNNNNNNNNNNNNNNNNNNNNNNNNNNNNNNNNNNNNNNNNNNNNNNNNNNNNNNNNNNNNNNNNNNNNNNNNNNNNNNNNNNNNNNNNNNNNNNNNNNNNNNNNNNNNNNNNNNNNNNNNNNNNNNNNNNNNNNNNNNNNNNNNNNNNNNNNNNNNNNNNNNNNNNNNNNNNNNNNNNNNNNNNNNNNNNNNNNNNNNNNNNNNNNNNNNNNNNNNNNNNNNNNNNNNNNNNNNNNNNNNNNNNNNNNNNNNNNNNNNNNNNNNNNNNNNNNNNNNNNNNNNNNNNNNNNNNNNNNNNNNNNNNNNNNNNNNNNNNNNNNNNNNNNNNNNNNNNNNNNNNNNNNNNNNNNNNNNNNNNNNNNNNNNNNNNNNNNNNNNNNNNNNNNNNNNNNNNNNNNNNNNNNNNNNNNNNNNNNNNNNNNNNNNNNNNNNNNNNNNNNNNNNNNNNNNNNNNNNNNNNNNNNNNNNNNNNNNNNNNNNNNNNNNNNNNNNNNNNNNNNNNNNNNNNNNNNNNNNNNNNNNNNNNNNNNNNNNNNNNNNNNNNNNNNNNNNNNNNNNNNNNNNNNNNNNNNNNNNNNNNNNNNNNNNNNNNNNNNNNNNNNNNNNNNNNNNNNNNNNNNNNNNNNNNNNNNNNNNNNNNNNNNNNNNNNNNNNNNNNNNNNNNNNNNNNNNNNNNNNNNNNNNNNNNNNNNNNNNNNNNNNNNNNNNNNNNNNNNNNNNNNNNNNNNNNNNNNNNNNNNNNNNNNNNNNNNNNNNNNNNNNNNNNNNNNNNNNNNNNNNNNNNNNNNNNNNNNNNNNNNNNNNNNNNNNNNNNNNNNNNNNNNNNNNNNNNNNNNNNNNNNNNNNNNNNNNNNNNNNNNNNNNNNNNNNNNNNNNNNNNNNNNNNNNNNNNNNNNNNNNNNNNNNNNNNNNNNNNNNNNNNNNNNNNNNNNNNNNNNNNNNNNNNNNNNNNNNNNNNNNNNNNNNNNNNNNNNNNNNNNNNNNNNNNNNNNNNNNNNNNNNNNNNNNNNNNNNNNNNNNNNNAGCUCAUAGAAUUAUUGUUUCAUAUUGUUUUUUCAUCAGUUAUGAACUAUUUUUAAUGUCAUAUUAAUCCAUGCUUUAGGUAUUACAAAUUUCAAAGGGUGGCCAAUAUCACAACAUACUUCCUUGACAAUUUUGAGGGGUGACAACUCAGAUACACUACAUUGGCCUGAAAAGGGAAUCCACCCAGGUAAUUUAUAGGUUGGGAUCAAAUUUGUUGAAUUUAAAAAAAUUUCCAUUCGAUCAUCAGCUAGCUAUUAUUCGAUUGCUUAGUAUUCUAAUCUAUAUGUGUUGUCACGGACUUUGAAUUUGAUGAAAUUAUAUUUUACUUGUGCAGUUACCUAGCUUGUUACACUUGCUAUGUUUGAAUUUGAUGAAGAUGGUGGGUAUUGCUGGAGUUUGCUAUCUUUUUUCUUCGAUGCAAAAAUAGUCAUGAGUAUUGAUGCAACUUUGCACGUUUAGCUUCUUCUUAGAUUGGAAUUUGUAGUGUGUUUCACCAAAACUACUAGGAUGACUUUUUUUUUUUUUGGUUGAUCAGUGUUGGCUUCGUUGUGUUGCUGGAAAUUACUGAUCAUGGUUCAUUAAUCUCAAAACUGCUAGUCUUCUACAUGGUACUGAAAUUUGAUUUUUAUGUUGUUACAAUACCUUCUAUAUAUGUUGGACUUGUCACAUGUAUUUGGAUAAAUUAUGUUUGUUGACAAUUAUCAAUAAUUAUUCAGUGUUAUUCAUUUCAUUUUCUUUGUCAAUGAAUUUUUAAUUGCAAUAUUCAUUUUAACAGUCUAAUGAAUUAGCUAAAUUAUAUAUGAAUUUUAAUUUCUAAAUCAAUUUCAGGAUUUUUAUUAAAAUAAUAAUGAUUUCAUAGUAGUAACAAAAUACUUAUUUUUAUCAAUUAUAAUUUCAGUUUCUGAAUUAAUUUAAAAAAAUCAAUUAAUUAUAGUUUCCAUUUUCGUGCCAAAUUUAAGAUUUCCCACUAAAAAUUCAAAAUAUAGCGUGUGAAAUUAAAAAAAAAAGAGGGAAAUUUAAAAUUAUUAUAUUUCCCUCUAAAUAAAAUUAUGAUAGUUGUACGACUGGUUAAUCCAUCACAAGUUAUGACGGGUAUUGUUCUGUCAUCAAUUCUUGACGCUGGCUAUAAUGACGGUAUGAACAACUGUUAUCCAUCCUCUACUAUGACAGUUUUACCUGUCAUAGUAGGUCCUUUUUCUUGUAGUGUAGGCACCUAAGCUUGUAUGAGAAAAAUCUGGUGCAUUUUUUUCUAAUGUUUUGCAUAAGUAAAUAAUUUUUCUCCAUAAGCUAUUCUUGUUACAACCCAUCCAUUAACAAUAAAAAGCCAAGAACAGUCCAUGGCAAUAGUUAUGGUCGGAUCAAUCUAAGAAAUAAGCACGGAAGGUCAAAAGCAAGAGUGUUGUGUUGAAGGUUGGAUAAAAAUUGCGAGUAUUGGAAAAUAAAUGCGAGUAGUGCUACUUUAUGUUAAAUUUGCGGGAGCUGGUAAAUAUACAAUCUUUCGCCUUUUUAUCCGUCAACCACUAUUUUCUUUCUCCGCUUGAAAAAAAAAAAAAAACACAACAAAGCUGCGUCCUUUGUGAUUCUAACUUCCAAGCAUCUACAUAUGUUCCACAUUUCCACACUGCUUUGAUUGAAUUAAUAGAAUGUUUUCAUCUAAUCAAAAUCUCUCUAAUAAAUUGAAUUGUUUCUUUUACGGCUUCAGGUAGCAGCACCACAACGAACACAUAAAUUUGAAGGUGUUAAAGUCAUGGCCGGUGCAAUGUUAAAAGUCAUGGCUGGCACCGGCCAUCUUGCCCGCCAUUGUUGGUGGUGCCGUGUUGACUUAUUCUAUUAAAAAAAAAAAGCCAAAAUUUUGGCUAUAUAAAGAGGGCUUCCCACCCUCAUUUUUGUAUUCCAUUAAGAGAGAGUAAUUUAGCAUUUUAAGAGAGAGUUUAGAGAGCUUGAAAUUAUAAGCUCUUGUUAUAGUAAUUUGAGAGUUUGAGUGUAUUGGGGUUUUGGAAAGUGAGCUAAAAUACUACAAUACUUGUAACUCUUUUUUACUAAUAAAAUAUUUCCUUCUUUCUUCGCCCGUGAACGUAGGCUAAAAGCCAAACCACGUAAUUUCUGGUAUUCUCUUUUGUGCUUGUUCUUUAUUUUUCUUCCAACUUUAUUUUAGCUGCGGUCCUGCUUCACCCAUCAAUUUCCUAACAGUGGUAUCAGAGCUAUUGGUUGUAUUUUUGGAGUCGGGUACUGUUCACAUAGGGGUACUGUUCACGUAUACGGUAUUAUUCACGUAAAACAGUGGGAGCGAUUCAAGAAUUUUGCAAUGCAAAGCAGGAAAUAGUGGUGUGAGUAAAACAACUGUGUGGUUUUUUGUACAUGUCUAGGAAAGUUUUGUCAUAAAGGCGAUAAGAGCUUAAGCAGUCUGGGUUUUAAGUGGGACCAUUGUGACCCCUCCAGUCUUUCCUGGGAACUUUCCUAGUGUGCAUUCUCAUACAUAGUCACAACUAUUCAAGGUGGUACACUAGCUUGUGUGCGAUAUUUAUCAACAAAAUGGCAGCAACGUAUGAAAUUGAGAAGUUUAACGGAAAUAAUUUUUCGCUGUGGAAAAUGAAGAUGAAAGCUGUAUUGAGGAAAAAUAAUUACUUGGCAGCAAUUGGAGAAAGGCUCAUGGAGAUAACUGAUGACAAGUGCAAUGAAGUAGAUGGCAACGCCAUUUCUGAUCUACAUUUGGCACUUGCAGACGGAGUAUUAUCCAGUGUAGUAGAGAAAAAUACAGCUAAGGAAUAUAUGAGAUACUCUCAUAAAAUUGUAUGAGGCCAAGUCACUACACAACAAAAUCUUCUUGAAGAGGAAACUCUAUACUCUUCGAAUAUCGGAAUCUACAAUAGUGACCGAUCACAUCAAUACCUUGAAGACUCUAUUUUCACAACUCACAACUUCGGUCAUAAUAUAGAGGGGAAUGAACGUGCAGAGCUUCUACUUCCAAGUCUACCAGAUUCAUAUGAUCAACUCAUUAUCAACCUGACAAACAACAAUCCAGCGAACAGUCUAGUUUUCGACGAUNNNNNNNNNNNNNNNNNNNNNNNNNNNNNNNNNNNNNNNNNNNNNNNNNNNNNNNNNNNNNNNNNNNNNNNNNNNNNNNNNNNNNNNNNNNNNNNNNNNNNNNNNNNNNNNNNNNNNNNNNNNNNNNNNNNNNNNNNNNNNNNNNNNNNNNNNNNNNNNNNNNNNNNNNNNNNNNNNNNNNNNNNNNNNNNNNNNNNNNNNNNNNNNNNNNNNNNNNNNNNNNNNNNNNNNNNNNNNNNNNNNNNNNNNNNNNNNNNNNNNNNNNNNNNNNNNNNNNNNNNNNNNNNNNNNNNNNNNNNNNNNNNNNNNNNNNNNNNNNNNNNNAGCUCAUAGAAUUAUUGUUUCAUAUUGUUUUUUCAUCAGUUAUGAACUAUUUUUAAUGUCAUAUUAAUCCAUGCUUUAGGUAUUACAAAUUUCAAAGGGUGGCCAAUAUCACAACAUACUUCCUUGACAAUUUUGAGGGGUGACAACUCAGAUACACUACAUUGGCCUGAAAAGGGAAUCCACCCAGGUAAUUUAUAGGUUGAGAUCAAAUUUGUUGAAUUUAAAAAAAUUUCCAUUCGAUCAUCAGCUAGCUAUUAUUCGAUCGCUUAGUAUUCUAAUCUAUAUGUGUUGUCACAGACUUUGAAUUUGAUGAAAUUAUAUUUUACUUGUGCAGUUACCUAGCUUGUUACACUUGCUAUGUUUGAAUUUGAUGAAGAUGGUGGGUAUUGCUGGAGUUUGCUAUCUUUUUUCUUCGAUGCAAAAAUAGUCAUGAGUAUUGAUGCAACUUUGCACGUUUAGCUUCUUCUUAGAUUGGAAUUUGUAGUGCGCUUCACCAAAACUACUAGGAUGAUUUUUUUUUGUUUGGUUGAUCAGUGUUGUUGGCUUCGUUGUGUUGCUGGAAAUUACUGAUCAUGGUUCAUUAAUCUCAAAACUGCUAGUCUUCUACAUGGUACUGAAAUUUGAUUUUUAUGUUGUUACAAUACCUUCUAUAUAUGUUGGACUUGUCACAUGUAUUUGGAUAAAUUAUGUUUGUUGACAAUUAUCAAUAAUUAUUCAGUGUUAUUCAUUUCAUUUUCUUUGUCAAUGAAUUUUUAAUUGCAAUAUUCAUUUUAACAGUCUAAUGAAUUAGCUAAAUUAUAUAUGAAUUUUAAUUUCUAAAUCAAUUUCAGGAUUUUUAUUAAAAUAAUAAUGAUUUCAUGGUAGUAACAAAAUACUUAUUUUUAUUAAUUAUAAUUUCAGUUUCUGAAUUAAUUGAAAAAAAUCAAUUAAUUAUAGUUUCCAUUUUCGUGCCAAAUUUAAGAUUUCCCACUAAAAAUUCAAAAUAUAGCAUGUGAAAUUAAAAAAAAAAAAGAGGGAAAUUUAAAAUUAUUAUAUUUCCCUCUAAAUAAAAUUAUGAUAGUUGUACGACUGGUUAUAUCCAUCACAAGUUAUGACGGGUAUUGUUCUGUCAUCAAUUCUUGACGCUGGCUAUAAUGACGGUAUGAACAACUGUCAUCCAUCCUCUACUAUGACAGUUUUACCUGUCAUAGUAGAUCCUUUUUCUUGUAGUGCCCACUCACCCAAUUAACUUCCAAGGCUGGAUUUCACCGGACUUUUGAAGCAGAGGAAGCAUUCUUGCAACUUAAGAAGGCUCUCACAACUGCUCCAGUCUUGCAACUUCCAUCUCAAAAAUUUAUUAUAGAAUGUGAUGCAUGCGGAACUGGGAUAGGAGAAAUUUUGUCUCAACAAGGCCAACCCAUUGCUUGUUUUAGUGAGGCAUUGAAGGGUACGAUGUUGGCAUUGUCAACUUAUGAUAAAGAGAUGUUGGCCAUUGUUAAAGCAAUAAAGAAGUGGUGACUAUAUCUUUUGGGUAGAUCUUUUAUAGUGCGGACGGACCAACGAAGUUUAAAAUUCCUCCUGGAUCAGCGGAUCACCACUCCCACACAGUUGCGUUGGCUACCGAAGAUUUUGGGUUAUGAUUAUGAGAUACAAUACAAAAAGGGGGUUGACAACAAUGGGGCAGAUGCUUUGUCUCGCAUUGCUCAAUUUGAAUUAUAUGCUAUCUCAUUGCCAAAUUUAGAUUGGUGGGCCACUCUCAAAGAAGAAGCUUCAUCGGAUCCCUUCUAUGAGCAGAUUACAUCCCUUCGCAAUAAAACUCCCACACUUUAUCUUCAGAGGGAUGAAGUUUGGUUUAAAAAGGGCAGAAUCUUUUUUAGUCCUACUUCAACUUUAACUCCAGCCAUACUAGCAGAUAAUCACUCUUCGCCGGUGGGGGGACAUUUUGGAGUUCAAAAGACGCUAAGCCGGAUUCGAUCUAUGUUCCUUUGGUCAGGAAUGAGAUCUGCAGUCAAACAAUUUAUCUAAGGAUGUGAUACUUGUCAGCAUUAUAAAACGGCGACGAUGCGGCCAGCUGGGCUCCUUCAACCUUUAGCAAUUCCUGACAAAAUAUGGACUGAUAUUUCCAUGGAUUUCAUUAAAGGCCUUUCCACAUCGCAAGGAUACACAGUUAUAAUGGUGGUGGUAGAUCGUUUGUCGAAGUAUGCCCACUUUGUUGUUCCUUUAAAGCAUCCAUUUACAGCUUUAAUGGUGGCUAAGGCUUUUCUAAGUCAUAUUGUGAAAUUACAUGGUGUGUUAAGAUCCAUUACUAGUGACCGUGACAAGGUUUUUAUUAGUGCUUUUUGGAAAAAUUUGUUUCAAAUGCUAGAAACUUCUCUUUGCAUGAGCCAAUGAAGUAGAUGGCAACGCCAUUUCUGAUCUACAUUUGGCACUUGCAGACGGAGUAUUAUCCAGUGUAGUAGAGAAAAAUACAGCUAAGGAAUAUAUGAGAUACUCUCAUAAAAUUGUAUGAGGCCAAGUCACUACACAACAAAAUCUUCUUGAAGAGGAAACUCUAUACUCUUCGAAUAUCGGAAUCUACAAUAGUGACCGAUCACAUCAAUACCUUGAAGACUCUAUUUUCACAACUCACAACUUCGGUCAUAAUAUAGAGGGGAAUGAACGUGCAGAGCUUCUACUUCCAAGUCUACCAGAUUCAUAUGAUCAACUCAUUAUCAACCUGACAAACAACAAUCCAGCGAACAGUCUAGUUUUCGACGAUAUUGCAGCCUCCGUAUUAAAUGACGUAGGCUAAAAGCCAAACCACGUAAUUUCUGGUAUUCUCUUUUGUGCUUGUUCUUUAUUUUUCUUCCAACUUUAUUUUAGCUGCGGUCCUGCUUCACCCAUCAAUUUCCUAACAGUGGUAUCAGAGCUAUUGGUUGUAUUUUUGGAGUCGGGUACUGUUCACAUAGGGGUACUGUUCACGUAUACGGUAUUAUUCACGUAAAACAGUGGGAGCGAUUCAAGAAUUUUGCAAUGCAAAGCAGGAAAUAGUGGUGUGAGUAAAACAACUGUGUGGUUUUUUGUACAUGUCUAGGAAAGUUUUGUCAUAAAGGCGAUAAGAGCUUAAGCAGUCUGGGUUUUAAGUGGGACCAUUGUGACCCCUCCAGUCUUUCCUGGGAACUUUCCUAGUGUGCAUUCUCAUACAUAGUCACAACUAUUCAAGGUGGUACACUAGCUUGUGUGCGAUAUUUAUCAACAAAAUGGCAGCAACGUAUGAAAUUGAGAAGUUUAACGGAAAUAAUUUUUCGCUGUGGAAAAUGAAGAUGAAAGCUGUAUUGAGGAAAAAUAAUUACUUGGCAGCAAUUGGAGAAAGGCUCAUGGAGAUAACUGAUGACAAGUGCAAUGAAGUAGAUGGCAACGCCAUUUCUGAUCUACAUUUGGCACUUGCAGACGGAGUAUUAUCCAGUGUAGUAGAGAAAAAUACAGCUAAGGAAUAUAUGAGAUACUCUCAUAAAAUUGUAUGAGGCCAAGUCACUACACAACAAAAUCUUCUUGAAGAGGAAACUCUAUACUCUUCGAAUAUCGGAAUCUACAAUAGUGACCGAUCACAUCAAUACCUUGAAGACUCUAUUUUCACAACUCACAACUUCGGUCAUAAUAUAGAGGGGAAUGAACGUGCAGAGCUUCUACUUCCAAGUCUACCAGAUUCAUAUGAUCAACUCAUUAUCAACCUGACAAACAACAAUCCAGCGAACAGUCUAGUUUUCGACGAUAUUGCAGCCUCCGUAUUAAAUGAGGAGAGCAUGCGGAAAAAUAAAGAAAACAGACAAGCAAGUUCGCAGCAAGCGGAGGCGCUAUCAGUGACGGGAGGGAGAUCAACGGAAUGUGGCCCCAGUGGGAGUCACAAUAAUGAUAGAUCAAAAUCUAGAAGUAAGAAGAAUGUUAAAUGCUACAACUGUGGCAAGAAAUGGCACGUCAAAAAAGAGUGUUGGAGUAAUCAGAAGAGAAAAGAGGGCAAAGAAUCUGAGUCAUCAAAUGCUUAGGGGUGUGUAGCAAGUACCUCAGAUGAUGGCAACUGUUUCAGAAGGUAGAAAACGACUGUCUGAUGUUUGGCUUAUAGUCUCAGGAGCUACCUGGCACAUGACCCCUAGGAGAGAAUGGUUCCACACAUAUGAACCUAUUUCAGGAGGAUCUGUAUAUAUGGGAGAUGAUCAUGCCUUAGAGAUCGCUGGUAUUGGUACUAUCAAAAUAAAAAUAUUUGAUGGUACAACUUGCACAAUUGGGGUGAUACAACAUGUCAAUGGCCUGAAGAAAAAUCUAUUGUCUUUGGGACAAAUGGAUAGUUAUGGGUAUAAAACUCAUGUGGAGAAUGGAAUUUUGAAGACUGUUAAAGGAGCGCUUGUAUUGAUGAAGGCAUAAAAGAUCGGUGUUAAUUUAUUCAUACUUAAAGGAGAAACACUCUAGGAGACUGAUGCGUGUGUCGCAUCAAAUGGAGAAAAGUCAACGAUGAUGUGACAUCUCAAACUUGGCCACAUGUCAGAACAAGGUUUGAAAAUUCUCUCUGAGCGAAAAUUACUUUCGGGGCUCAAAUCAAUAAGUUUACUCUUUUGCAAGCAUUGUGUUACAAGUGAGCAGCAUAGAUUAAAAUUCAGUAGGUCUAUUGCUAGAAGUAAAUGCAUUCUAGACUUAAUUCAUUCUGAUGUUUGGGAAUCACCAGAUAUAUCCAUGGGAGGUGUAAAAUACGUGGUGACUUUUAUUGAUGAUUGCUCCAGAAGAUGUUGGGUGUAUCCAAUUAAGAAAAAGUCAGAUGUAUUUCUAGUAUUUAAAUAAUACAAAGCGCGGGUGGAACUUGAAUCUCGUAAAAAGAUUAAGUGCUUCAGGACGGAUAAUGGUGGAGAGUAUACAGACGACGAGUUUCUUACUUUCUGUAAGCAAGAAGGUAUUUAGAGGCAGUUCACGUCGGUAUACACUCCUCAACAAAACGGAGUGGCGGAGCAAAUGAACAGAACUCUUAUAAAAAGAAUAAGAGUUAUGUUGAGGACUGCUGGUCUACCCAAUUCAUUCUGGAUAGGAGCAGUCAAAACUGCAUGUUAUAUAGUAAAUCGAUCGCCAUCUAUAACUAUUAGGCUGAAGACAACGAUGGAGAUGUAGACUGGAAAGCUAGCUGAUUAUUCCUAUCUACAUGCAUUUGGAUAUCCUGCGUACGUGAUGUACAAUGUCCAAGAAAGAACAAAGCUGGAUGCAAAAUCUAGAAGAUGUAUCUUCUUGGGGUAUACUGAUGGAGUAAAGGGGUAUCGUCUGUGGGACCCCACUGCCCACAAGAUCGUCAUCAACAGAGAUGUUAUUUUUGUAGAAGAUCAACUGCAAAUGAAAGAUGGAGGUGAUGACACUGUAAAAGAAAAGUCAGAGAUUGUGCCGGUAUAUGUCGAAAAUAAUUUAGAAGAUUCAGAUUCUUGUGAAGCAGCACCAGAGCACGAGGAACAAGAACCAGUCUAGUUCGAGGCUCCAGAAGUUCGUCGAUCAACUCGUGAGAGACAACCACCAACGUGGCACUCGGAGUAUGUCACAGAGAUCAACGUUGCAUACUGUCUUCUAACAGAGGAUGAAGAGCCAUCAACUUUUUAUGAAACUUUAGAAAGCUCAAAUAUUACUUUGUGGAUGACAGCAAUACAUGAAUAAAUUGAAGCUCUACAUAGAGAUUGGUGGUGAAAGGAUAUGCUCAGAAAGAAGGUAUUGACUUCAAUGAGAUAUUUUUUCCGGUAGUUCGACUCACAACAGUCAGAGUAGUCUUGACGAUGUGUGCUACAUUUGACCUACAUCUAGAGCAGUUAGAUGUGAAAACUGCAUUCCUUCAUGGAGAACUUGAAGAAGAAAUUUAUAUGCUCGAACCGGAAGGUUUUGCCGAAACAGGAAAGGAGAACUUGGUUUGCAGGUUGAACAAAUAUCUAUAUGGUCUCAAAUAGGUGUCGAUGUGUUGGUAUAAGAGAUUUGAUUCCUUAAUUAUGAGCCUUGGAUACAACAAACUCAGUUCAGACCAUUGUGCAUAUUACAAGAGGUUUGAAGAUAAUGAUUUCAUCAUUUUGCUGUUGUAUGUGGAUGACAUGUUGGUAGCAGGCUCCAACAAAUAUCGAGUCCAAGAAUUGAAGGCACAGUUAGCUAGGGAGUUUGAAAUGAAGGACUUGGGACCAGCAAACAAGAUUCUAGGGAUGCAAAUUCACCGAGACAGAAAUAAUAGGAAGAUUUGGCUUUCUCAGAAGAACUACUUACAAAAAAUCUUGUGACGCUUCAACAUGUAAGAUUGUAAGUCAAUUUCUACCCUACUUCCUAUUAAUUUCAAAUUAUCCUCAAGUAUGUGUCCUAGCAAUGAAGCAGAGAGGAAGGAGAUGUCUCGAGUACCCUAUGCAUAAGUAGUGGGAAGUUUGAUGUUCGCUAUGAUAUGUACUAGACCGGACAUUGAACAAGCAGUGGGAGCAAUCAGUCGAUACAUGGCGAAUCCUGGUGGAGAGCAUUGGAUAGCUGUGAAGAGGAUUCUGAGAUACAUCAGAGGAAUUUUAGAUGUUGCAUUAUGUUAUGGAAGAUCAGAAUUUACUGUCAGAUGCUAUGUGGAUUCAGAUUUUGCAGGAGAUCUUGAUAAAAGAAAAUCCAUUACUGGUUAUGUGUUUACACUUGCGGGAGCAGCUGUAAGCUGGGUUUCGAAACUGCAGGGCGUUGCAGCUUUAUCUACAACAGAAGUAGAAUACAUGACAGCUACACAAGCUUGCAAGGAAGCUAUUUGGAUACAAAGAUUAUUGGAGGAGCUCGGGCACAAACAACAGAAAAUUCUUAUGUUUUGUGACAGUCAGAGUGCCUUACACAUUGUAAGGAAUCCAACCUUUCAUUCCAGGACAAAGCACAUAGGAGUUCAGUAUCACUUCGUUCGAGAAGUAGUGGAAGACGAAAAUGUGGAUUUACAGAAAAUCCAUACGAAGGAGAACCUAGUAGAUGUUUUGACCAAGCUGAUAAAUACUGAUAAGUUUGUCUGGAGUAGAUCCUCUUGUGGCCUAGCAAUAACAUAGGCAACAUGACUACGACGAAGCAGAAAGGAUAGUGUGGAGAUUGAUUGAUUCUCAAUCUAAUCUCCAAAUGGGAGAAUGUUAAAAGUCAUGGCCGGUGCAAUGUUAAAAGUCAUGGCUGGCAUCGGCCAUCUCAACACGGCUCGCCAUUGUUUGUGGUGCUUGUUGACUUGUUCAAUAAAAAAAAAAAAAAGAGCCAAAAUUUUGGCUGUAUAAAGAGGGCUUCCCACCCUCAUUUUUGUAUUCCAUUAAAAGAGAGUAAUUUAGCAUUUUGAGAGAGAGUUUAGAGAGUUUGAAAUUAUAAGCUCUUGCUAUAGUAAUUUGAGAGUUUGGGUGUAUUGGAGUUUUAGGAAGUGAGCUAAAAUAUUACAAUACUUGUAAUUUCUUUUUACUAGUAAAAUAUUUCCUUCUGUCUUCAUCCGUGGACAUAGGCUAAAAGCCGAAUCACGUAAUUUGUGGUAUUCUCUUUUGUGCUUGUCCUUUAUUUUUCUUCUAAUUUUAUUUUAGUUGCGGUCCUACUUCACCCAUCAAUUUCCUAACAGAAAGGUCAUGUGGUGUCUUGCCGACUUAAACUGUGAGGUUGGCGAGCCCAAGUCACGAGUUCAAGAAGUUACAUCAAAUAAGAUGUUGAAUGAGUCUAUACGUUGUGGAAGUAGUGUAAAUUGUGUAUUUAUAGAAUAAUUUAUUGAAAAAUCUAAGUCGUUUAUUGAUCUACAUGUCAGUUGUUAAUAGACACAAUUGUCGUAGUUCACAAGAUGAUUGACUUGAGAUAUGAAUAUACAGAUGUAAAUGUCGGUGGAAAAAGAAAAUUUCAGGUCAGAUUCUCUGAACAAUUGUUGAUUUUGUCAUGCUGGAGAAAAAAACGCCGAAUUUUUGGGGAAAUAUUUUAGCUUUAUCUCACAUUAGUCGGUCUUCUUCAGUAGUAGUAAAGCAUCCGUAUGUGCUACGUGCAUUUGAUUCAAUUAAUUAACAUCCCUGAUUGUUGCACCGUCGUCGUAAGAAUUAACAGCAAUCUUUGCUAAAAUUAUUGUUAUCUCUAUUACCUCUUGUAUUCUAAUUUCAACUUGCAGUCAGCAAGUUGAAAUUUCUAACUUACAGUCAGCAAGUUAAACAAUCAUAUUCUAAGCAUCCUCAUUGAAAUUACCGCAUUGCAUUUAUACUUUACAAAAGAAAACAAAACGUGUGCGAAACUUCCCUGAAGGUUCUAAGGAACAUCAUCUCUUUAUAUACUAUGCAGUCUCACAUCUCAAAUCUCUCAUCUACUGAGCAGUUGUGGCUUCUUUUUCUUCUUCUCAACAUCAACCAGUAUGAGCUUGAGUUUGAAUUUGAUGAAUCCUCGAAACAAUGAGUAUGAUGUUUCUGUUAUGGCUUCUUCUUCUUCUUCUUCUCCUCGAAACAGUAAUAAGUAUGGUGUUUUUCUUAGUUUCAGAGGAGAGGACACCCGUGACAACUUUACCAGCCAUCUUUAUUCUGCUCUGUGUCACAAUAACAUUGAAACUUUCAUCGACAACGAUCUUAAGAGAGGAGAUGAAAUUUCACAGUCUCUGCUUGAUACAAUUGAAGCAUCAACCAUCUCAAUUAUCAUUUUCUCAGAAAGAUAUGCUUCUUCAGGAUGGUGUCUCGAUGAACUUUUAAAGAUCCUCGAAUGCAAGCACGAUUAUGGACAGAUUGUGAUUCCAGUUUUCUGUCGCGUUGAUCCAUCGCACGUGAGACGGCAAACUGGGACUUUUGGAGAUUAUUUUUCGAAGCUUGGAAAACGAUAUCCAGAGAAGAUGCAUAGAUGGGCGAAUGCUUUGACAGAAGCAGCCAACCUUUCUGGCUUUGAUUCUGAUGUUAUUAGGUAACGGCGAUCUUCUAUUUAAUUCUUACUAUUAAUUAAUCUAGUAUCUGUAAUAAGUGACAUUAUAAGAAUGAGUUUAACUUAUCAAUAGUUUAUUAAUUAAAUCAUUUUUAUGAAGAUUAGCUUAUUAUCCUGCAUAUUUAAUUAAUUUUCCAAUUAUUUUAUUUUAUGAAAUUGUUCUUCACAUUAAAUUAGUUAUUUUAUAUUGCAACUAAAAACACAUGCACACAUGAUUCUCCGCCUCGUUUCAUAUAUUUGAAAUUUAGUUGCUGUUAUGAUUUUACUAGGCCUGAAUCUAAACUUGUUGAGGAAAUUGCCAAUGAAAUUUUGGAGAGGCUGGAGGAAACUUUUCAAAGUUAUAACAAAGACUUGGUUGGAGUUGAAUGGCGCAUUAAAGAAAUUGAGUCAUUAUUAUGCACUGGGUUUGCGGGUGUUUACAUAUUGGGGAUUUGGGGCAUCGGUGGUAUAGGCAAGACAACAAUCGCUGAUGCUGUUUUUAACAAAAUCUCUAGACAUUUUGAAGGUUCUUACUUUGCGCAAAAUGUUAGAGAAGCAGAAGAAACUGGCGGAAUAAAGGACUUACAGAAGGAACUUCUGUCCAAGUUAUUGAAUGAUAGAAAUGUGUGGAACAUCGAGUCUCAACUCAACAGACUUGCUCGCAAGAAGUUUCUAAUUGUUUUUGAUGAUGUGACUCAUCCAAGACAAAUAGAAUCAUUAAUUAGACGCCUUGAUCGGUUAGCUUCAGGGAGUCGAGUGAUAAUAACAACAAGGGAUAAACAAGUACUUAAAAAUUGUCGGGCCAGGCAAAUAUUUCGGAUGAAGGAAUUAGAAGAUGCUGAUGCUCAUAAGCUUUUCUGUCAGUGUGCUUUUGGAGGAGACCAUCCAGAUGCAAGUCAUAUAGAGCUCACAGACAAGGCAAUCAAAUAUGCGCAGGGGGUUCCUUUAGCUCUUAAAGUUUUGGGUCACCAUCUAUGCGGAAGGAGCAAAGAGGAAUGGGAAAGUGCAAUGAGAAAACUGGAAGUAAUUCCUGACAAGGAAAUCCAGGAGGUAUUAAAAAUAAGUUAUGAUAGCUUGGAUGACCCUCAGAAGAAUGUUUUUCUAGAUAUUGCAUGUUUCUUAGAAGGAGAGCAUAGAGAUGAGGUGACAAGCUUUUUUGAUGCUAGUGGCUUCCAAGCUAAAAUAGAAUUAAGUGUUCUUGAAGGUAAGUCUCUCAUAACUUGCUUCUAUAACUACAUAAGGAUGCAUGAUUUGAUACGAGAUAUGGGAAGAGAAAUUGUUCGAAAUGAAUCUAUCGAUCAUCCAGGAGAGCGCAGUAGGUUGUGGUAUCACGAGGAUAUUUAUAAAGUUCUGAAGAACAAUACGGUGAGGAAUAAUAAGUUUUUAAUUGUAUCUUAUUUGUGUUACAUUUAUGUUAGCAAUUUGUCUGAAUAUGUCUUUUUGAAUAAGAAUAGCAUUAAUACAGCUUAAAAUUAAUUGAAAAAUAAUAUUAGAAAAUUGGUAAAAUAAAAUAGAUUGAUCCGAUGUUUCCCCAACUCAGUUUGAAACAUGCCUCUAAAAUCCCCAGCAAACUAACGCCUUCGGAGAGAGACCCAAAAAAAAAAAAAACACCUCAAUCUUAUUGCAUUUCCUUUUCAACUCAAGCUAUGCCCCUAUCCUUACUUUUCACUAAAAAAAAAAAAAAAUUGAUUGAAUUAAUUUUACAGUUUACAUAUUAAGCAUUUUCCUGAAUUUUCUAUUAUACACUUCCUAAAAGCCUUACCCAAAUAGUUUAUUAUAAAGUGAUUGUAAUAUCUCUAUUUGGUAAUGACGGCUGAAAAAUAAUUGUUUAUUUGUCUGCUUUAAUUAUAAACCAACUUAUGAUCUCCUAUUUGAUUGUUAGGGAACUGAAAAAAUCAAGGGUAUCUUCUUGGAUAUGAAUAAAGUCACUAGAGAGAUACACAUGAAUUCCGAUGCUUUCUCAAAGAUGCCUAACUUGAGAUUCUUGAGAAUCUAUGGAGAUGAGAACAAAUGUAUGGUCUCUCAUUUGGAGGGUGUGCCAUUUGCUGAAGUGAGGCACCUCGAGUGGGCUCAAUGUCCUUUGAAAACGUUGAAUAUAUGUGCGGAGAAACUUGUUUCCCUUAGAAUGCCUUCCAGCAAGGUUGAACAACUUUGGGAUGAUGUUCAGGUAUAUAUUCAUUUGAAAUUCUUUCAGUAAUAAAUUCUAAAUACAAUUGAUGCUAUAAUUAAUAUAUGUGAUAGUAUAUGUUCUUUUAUAAAGAUGAUGAUGAUAAUAAUAAUAAUAAUUUUUUUUUUGGGGGCACAGGAUCUUGUUAACUUAAAAGAAAUAGACCUCAGUGGAUCCAUGUUGUUAACGAAACUCCCAGACUUGUCACAGGCCAAAAAUCUUAAGAUUCUGAUGUUAGGCGGCUGUUUAAGUUUGAUGGAGACUCGCUCAUCUAUUCAAUAUCUAAAUAAACUUGAAGUUCUUUAUCUAAGAAAGUGCGAGAGCCUGAUGAGUCUUCCAAUUAGCAUUCCUUUCAAAGAUCUCGUGAACUUCCCAAGUGUCACAUCUUGUCAUGUAUAUACUUUAGAGUUAGUAAAAGUUGGAAUCAAAGAACUGCCCUCAUCCAUCGAGUGCCUAUCCAAUCUGAAAAAACUAUACUUGAAAUCAUUGAUUGCCAAAAUUUCAUGAUGUUGCCUUAUGAACUUGGAAAUUUAAAAGCCUUGGAGAUGUUGAUCGUUGAUGGAACUGCUAUAAGAGAAGUACCGAAAAGCCUCAAUCAGUUAGCCUUAUUAUUUCGGUUGAAAUUGAAGAACUGUUCAGAGCUUGAUGGCAUCUCAAGUAGCAUAUUUAGCCUGUGUAUGUUCAAAUCUCUGACAUCUCUUGAAAUCAUUGAUUGCCAAAAUUUCAUGAUAUUGCCUGAUGAACUUGGAAAUUUAAAAGCCUUGGAGACGUUGAUCAUUGAUGGAACUGCUAUGAGAGAAGUACCAGAAAGCCUUGGUCAAUUAUCCUCAGUAAAAAAUUUGGUACUAACUAAUAACAAUUUGAAGAGAUUACCAGAAAGCCUCAAUCAGUUAUCCUCACUAGAAUAUUUGCAACUACAUUUGUAACUACCCGAAAACAGUUUGGAGGGAAUACCAGAAUACCUGAGGAGGAGUCCAAGGAAGUUGACAUCGCUCAAUUUAUCCGUUAACUUGAGAAAUUAUUUGAAAUUGGACCCGAAUGAGCUCAGUGAAAUCGUCAAAGAUGGGUGGAUGAAGCAGGUGUGUCUCUUAACUCACUCCUUUCAUUCUAUUUUCUUUUUCUUUUUACUUUAAUUCAAGUUAUCAUUAUUUUUCAUAAAUUAAUAAGUUUUUUAUUUUUGUGUUGCAGUCGUUUGCCAAAAGUAAGUAUUUCCCUGGAAAUGAAAUUCCAAAGUGGUUUAGGUAUCAAAGUAUGGGAUCUUCUGUAACCUUGAAGAUGCCACCUGCAGAUUUCCUCAAUAAUAAAAUAGUAGUAGGCUUUGCUUUUUGCAUUGUUGUAGCAUUUCCAGCCUCAGAGUACUUUGAACAUCAAAUCCCAAGGAAAUCUCGACCGUUGGUUUUGGGAAUUUUGACGUGUUCUGUGAUUGUAGACACAAAGGAAAUUUCGACCGUCGAUAUUUGGGUACAAUUAAUUAUGUUAAGUCAGAUCACGUGCUUUUGGGAUAUCAUUUAUUGGGUUCUGAGGAUUUAUUUUUGAGAGAUGAUGGUGAGGUCUCUUUCUGCUUUACGACUAUUUACCCUGAAGAUUGUGAAGUGAAACAAUGUGGGAUUCAUUUUGUGUACGCUGAAGAUUCUACGGAUAAAUUGAAGAUUAGAAGGAAGAGGACGACUGGAAUGCUCCGCUUCAAAGCAUCUCGUACUAUUUGGCGCGAAUAUCAAACUGUAGACCUUGUUUUUGUCUUCAUUUUAUAUAUGCAUUUUUCAAUAUGUUCGUUUAUGUAAUAUUUAUUAAUUGGUUGUUGUUGGGUGGAUGAAUCAAUAAAUUCAAAAUAAAUGGUAAUUAACCGACGUUGUAGAUCUAUGAGUUCUCUUUGUUUUGUCUUUAAUUUCUGUUUGGUUCAUGUCUAGAAUAUCCCAAAAAUUACAUAUCCAUUUACGAACUAAGAAUGCGCUGAUUAGAUUAAGAUUAUUUCAAUUAUUCUUAUAUUGCUAUGUCCUAAGCCGCGUCCUUUGUUGAGUAAAGACAUUCUUCAUGUGUUUGAACCCUUCUUCUUUUCUGACACUGAAUUCUCUUGUUCUAAUCUUCAGCUUGUUAGCCAUCAAAAAGGUAAUAUGGGAAGGCUAAGCAAUAGGUUGGGAAUGUGGAUGUUUGAUUGGGCGCUCAUGAUGGAUGAUAUUUCACGCUUUUUAAAUUGAAACUGGUCUCUUAGUCAUGUCUUGACAUUUUGUUUGAAACCUUUAAGAACAGGAUUCUGUAUUGCUUAAGAUUUUUAAUGAGUAGAAACUUUGAAUUACGAGGGAGGAGGAGCUUCCACCUUGUGAGUCAUCUAUCAUAUAAAGGGUUCUUUCUUUUCUACACAGGUAAAAUAACCACAUGACAACAUGAACAUUGGUGUGUUUUGAGGUUUUAAAUAAGUUCUUAGCUAGCAUCUUAUUUAUUCAAUCAUUUACGGAAUGCAAUGCCAAUAAGAAAUUCAAGUAACCAUCAUUGAAUUGGAAUUGACAGGUUUGGCCGCCAAAUAUUUGCUUAAUUUAUUAUUGUUCAGUGCUUCCCCCACGAGAGUACUGCCCUUUAUAUAGUAGUUCUUUAAUCGUUCGUAAGAUCGCGCCGAGAGGAAAAAGGAAAAAGUUGCAUAUUGUUAGCAUGCCUUAAAAAUUCAGAAUAAUGUCCAAGUGCAGUUGAUAACCCUUGAAUUAUAACUUUUAGCAUGAGAGAUAUUUUAUAAGCAUAAUUUCCAUCUUAUCAUUUAAAAAAUAAAAAAGGAUGCUCCAAUUUCGAGGGCUCUUGUAGGUUAGCUCCAUGAAGCAUUUCAUCUUGUAGAAUAUCUGUGGUUUGAGUAUUUUAUAGAAUGACUUUGGGAUUGGGAUGAACUGGCAUUGUUGUCAAGGUACAAUUUAUACUUUGAAAUUUGGCAGUCUGAAAUCAUGCUGGCUCAAUUCUCUUCAAAAUUGCUAUAUUGAUGCAGCUAUAUAAAGCUUUUGUAAUCUGCUGUUAGAAUCAUGCUGAAUUUUAAUCACUACAGGGACUGAGCUCCCUGUAUGUGCUGUGGAUUACAGUUGCUUGAUUCAUUUAAUGGCACAGUGUUUUGCAAAUGGUUUAUUAACUUUUUUGGUGCCUUAUCUAAUGGUUUUUUUUUUUGGGUCUUGAUUUUGCAGCGCCACCAUUGAAAUUAAUUGACUUGCCUGGAUUGGAUCAACGAAUAAUGGACGAUUCAUUGAUGAGGGCUUGUCUAAUUUUUUUAGACCUUGAUGCGUCCCAUUAUAUAUUUAUUUGAUAGAAGUUAUUUGCUUGUGUUUUCAAUGAUGGAAAGAUGUGGUCUGUUCUUUGCAUGUGAAUUAUGGUUGGUAACUUAUAGGUUAGUAACAAUAAUUUUGUGAUGUCCCUCAUAGGUUAGUGAAUAUGCCGAGUACAAUGAUGCUAUUUUACUAGUAAUUAUUCCUGCUGCCCAAGUGCCUGAAAUUGCUUCAUCUCGAGCUCCUAGAGUUGCCAAGGAGUAUGACGGAGAUAUUUUUUAUUUGUAAAUCAAAAGAUGUGCUAUUUAUGAUUUGCAUAAUCCUUGGCACACUAGUACAUUUUUUGGUGCAUCCUUUGAAGUUGGAGGAAUGUAACUCGGCCUUCUCCUUCCUAUUGCUAUCAUUACUGUUUCCUUGUUAAUUCUUUAUCCUGCUAAUUUGGGAGCUUAUUUUGUUAACGACAGGAACCAGAACUGUUGGUGUAAUAAGUAAAAUAGAUCAAGCUUUUGCAGACCAAAAAGCUCUUGCUGCUGUGCAGGCUCUCCUGUUAAAUCAAGGUCCACCAAAAACAGCUGACAUUCCGUGGGUUGCAUUAAUUGGUCAAUCAGUAUCAAUAGCUACUGCUCAGUCUGGAUCUGAGAGCUCCUUAGAAACUGCUUGGAGGGCAGAAAGUGAGUCUCUUAAGUCUAUAUUGACUGGUGCUCCUCAGAGUAAGUUAGGCAGAAUAGCUUUGGUGGAUGCUUUGGCUCAGCAUAUCCGCAAGCGUAUGAAAAUCCGGGUGCCAAACGUCCUCUCUGGGUAUUAAAUGAUUUCCACAUGCUGCACGAAAUGUUUCAAUUUUACGAAUGUUUUAGUUUAUCUUUGGAAAAUUGUAUUCUUUUUUUUUUUUUUUGACCCAUGAAAAUGAUUUUCUUGAACACACUUACGAUCUUUGGAACUUGUUUUACUGUCACAAAUGGAUUGUGAGAACUUGGCAAUCGGAAGUUCGAGAUACAUUUAACCAUUAAAAUUUCUCUUCUGCCUGGUAGGCAUAUUACCAUGUACAAGAAAAAGCUUUAUAUAGAAAUUUGAAAGAGGAAAUCUAAGACAUAGAUGAGGGGAAUAUGAUAGUUUUUUCGAUAAGAGACGGGAUUGUGAUACCAUCACCUCUGGAAUUGAAGCCUUCUAUAAUAGAUGGAAGUGAGCUCCAUUAUUUGUAUCAAUUUGUAAUCCCUCUCAUUGUAGAAGUUUACCUGGUCCUUGGACCUCUAAUGAGAAGCUUCUUAAUGUAUAAGGUGGAUACUGCUUCUACCUAAUGGAAUGUGUGAAGCUGGCAGGGACUAGGGGUCUUCUGUAGGAGAAACGAUUUUUUCAAACCUAUUCAAGUGCUUAGAGGUAGUGCUUGUUUUUACUAGGUCAGCUGAGGAGGGGUUGAUGUCUGCUUUGCGGUCAUUGUAACCUUAUUAGUUCCAGGUAGCUCCUUUAAAGUUGUUUUUGCUCUCUAACGCUUUUUCGGUUGACGAGUGUGUCUGGUCAUGGAAAUGUAGGGGUUGGAUUCCAAGUGUUGGAAGUUCAUAUGGUAGUAUGAGGAAGCCCCUUUUUAUGAUCCAAAUUUGGUUAACUAAAAUGGAUCUAAUUGGUACUUCAUGCUUGUUCUGUUCCUUUGGUCUUUUAUUAUUUUUUCCCUUUUCUUACUUAUAAGUUUGAGGCCAUGUCUAAUUGAUAAAUCUCUAAGUAUCAGUACUUCUUCUGGUUAAAAUAGUUAAUGUAUCCAAACUUUGUUUAGUGUCCUGCUCUCUGUUUUUAUUGGCUAGUGAUUUUGGUCGUGCUUUUUUGAGUGGCCUAUGGUAUUUUCCUCUGUCACUACCUGAAGAGUAUCGGAUACUGAUUUUUUGAGAUAUUAGUUGUCAUAACAUUAUGUCGAUGUAGGGUUCUGGUUGGCAAAUUGUUGCCAGUUUUGAGGGGAAUUUCCCGAACAGGAUCAAACAGCUUCCUUUGGACAGACAUUUUGAUAUUAAUAAUGUCAAUAGGGUAUGUUGGCGCUCUACUGCCUAUAUCUAUUGUGUUUCUGUUGCUUUAAUCUAAUUUUUUAGAUUUUGCAUUUGCAUUGAUCUUCUCAUAUUCAUUUCUUAUCAGAUUGUGUUAGAAGCGGAUGGCUAUCAACCAUAUCUAAUAUCCCCUGAAAAGGGUUUGAGAUCUUUGAUCAAAGGUGUCCUGGAGCUUGCAAAAGAACCCUCUCAUCUUUGUGUUGAUGAGGUAAUGGAACCAUGUAUAUAAAGAUUUUACCCUUUUUCUGUUUUUAUGAUGUUGAAUGUUAAAUUUUUUGUUUCGGCCUUAACAUAUGGUUCCUUCAUAGUAUUGUUAGUCAAUAGUAUGCUCUCUGUUGGAUGCAUGAUAUGGACAUCCAAAUGAUACACUUUUUAAUAUUUUUCUGAGGCACUACAUUUUAUGUUCUUUUUGUUCCGCGCUGCAAAUGCUACACCAGGCCUGGGAAGAUAUCCUCCUUUUAAGAGAGAGGUAUGGCUGCUUUUGAUUAUGUGUCACAAUAGCUAUUCUGCAUUUGUACAUGAUUAGACCUAUAUGUGGUUCAAAUUUCCUUUUCCGUGUGACAAUAGUUGAAUGGUUUGAAACUUUUACAAGGUUGUGGCCAUUGCAAGUGCUGCCUUAGAUGGGUUUAAGAAUGAAGCAAGAAAGAUGGUGGUUGCACUAGUUGACAUGGAGAGAGCUUUUGUCCCUCCCCAACAUUUCAUUUGUUUGGUGCAGAGGAGGUGUGAUAUGAUUGAACUUCUUUGAUAUAUUUGAGAUAUGUGCAACAUUGUCUUCCGGAUAUCUGGGUCUGAGUUCCUGUGACGGGAUGGCUUGUCAAUAUUUAUUUCUGGAACAUUUUGCUUAGAAAAUGCUGACAUUACCAACUUUUCUGAAAUUAAUGUCAUAGUCUAUUUCUUCUCUCUCCCCAAUUUUGCAUGAGCUGAGUUUUGAAUGCAUGCAAAUGCAACUCCACGAAUUUAGAAACUUUGGUAUUUAUUAGUCUAAGUACUGUUGUUGGGUAUUUUCCUAUCAACUUAAAGCUAGCAGUUUUGUAUUUGACUUUUGUUGUCAGUCGGGCUAGUGUUUAGAUCCGAUUGUGUUUGUGUGGGUUUGGUUCCAGAUGAUAUCAAAUUCUCUAUGCAUGAAACCAGCAUUUUUUCAGUUUAAACUCAGUUGUUUGGGCCUUUUCUAUUAGUUUAAGCCUUUGGGACCUAUGGUUCCUUAGGAUUACUAUUUUUUUUUCUCUAAGUUCUUUCCUGAAAGUCCUGUGCACCAUGCUUAUUGGUUAUUGCGUAAUCUAUUUAUUUUGUUGGGAUGGGAAGACAGCGGCGAGAGGAGGAGGUGAAGACGCGAUCUUUGAAGAAAGCAAAUGAGGCAGAACAAGCAAUACCGAAUAGGGUACGAUGUCCUUUUCCUGAUGUCAUUGGAGUAUGACAUGAGGAGGAUGGGACAUACUGAGGAGGCACUAGUUCCUUUUAACUGCUGUACGGCCAAGGCGGAUGUACGGUACAGCAGAUUUCAUUUUCUUUCGGAAGGAGAAAUAACAGCAGGUUUGUGAAAAAAACUGUCUGCAUCUUAUGUUAUUAGCUUUCACUGAAUUUUUCUUCUUAAUGUUGUUAUUGAUGUGUGUUGUGUAAUGUUUUAUUAUUGUGUCGAUGAUUACUGAAUUCAGAAGGCUGUCUAUCUUUUCCUUUUAGUUGAGUGAAAGAUCUUUGAGGUCUGGUUAAUAGUCUCUUGACUUUCCGGAAUUGUUUUGAUUUUAAGUCCUGAUGGAGGCCUUCAUUGAAAGAUAUUUAAACAACAUUUUUAAUCUAUUGAAAGAAAUGAUCAUGGGUUAUUAGAUGGGCUUGAUUCGUUAGUCUAUUAACCUUGGAUGCAUUUGACUGCUGUACGGCCAAGGCGGAUGUACGGUACAGCAGAUCGCUUAGUAUUCUAAUCUAUAUGUGUUGUCACAGACUUUGAAUUCGUCUUCUAGCUUAUGCUGCAUUGGCUUGUUCAUUUUGUUCCUUGGACUGCGUUUGGAGGAAGAGAUGCCUGAAUUCAGGAGUAGAUAAUAUGCAUCAUCUAUUUUCUGGAUGGAAAAUUGUAGAUUCCAAUUUGUGGGACAAGUCUCUGAUUGCUAAAAUAGUAUUAACUAGGGUUGGUCCCUGAUGUGUAUCUGGACAUUGUCUUAAACCUUCAUACUUUUUCAUCAAGCCAUAAAGUGCCUGCAUACAAGUUGAAGACCAGGAAACUUGCAACUGCUGCCCAAGACGAUAUACUGUUGUAGCAGAUAAUUAGCUAUUCAAUAAUUUUGGUAUAUCUCAUUAGUAUUUGUGGAAUGCCUUUGAAAUCCUUGCAUGCAUGGUUCAUAUCCCAGCAGUUUAUGGAUAAAGGCAUGUUAAUCCCCCUCUAGAUGAAAUUACUUAAUUGCUUAAAUGAGUUUUUUUUAGAAGUUUGUGACUAUUUUUUGUUGUCCAGGUUUCUUGUGAAGAAAAGUGCAAAAACUAAUGGAUGGAGCAAGCGAUGGUUUGUUUUGAAUGAGAAGACUGGAAGGUUUGUAACUAACAUUUUGUCCCGUACGCUUACAUUUUUUAGACAUGGAGUAGUAAUGCUAUUCAGAUGUUUUAGGUGCUUUUGGGCGUGGUAUCUAACCUUUGUUAAAUGAUUUUAGCAUUACAAAAUUUUUAAAAUGAGUUACAUUCUAGCCUCCAUUCUCUUAUUUUUUAUGUUUUUGCAUUAAAGAAAUAUAGGACACUGCUAUGAUAGGCAUGAUUUAAUCUCAAUCAUCCUUUGUUUGACAGCUGGGCUACACCAAAAAGCAAGAGGAAAAGCAUUUUUGUGGUGUCGUUGCUUUGGAGGUAUGGAGAAUUACUACUCUGUUUCAGUUUUGGUAUUAUAUUAUUUAUUCUUUUGUCACAACCUUUUUUCACCAUUUUGUAGUUUAUUGCCGUCUUACUGGCUGGACAGGAGUAAGAGUUGUAUAUGAAUAGGCCUAUAAAUGACCUUUAUCAGUGAAGUUUGCCUUAAUACUGCAAUAGGAACACUUUCUAAGUUAAAAUGGGUAAAGAUGGCCUAUGAUAAAUUUAACAAGGUAACAGUGGCCUCACAUACUAACGAACUUCAAGUAAAAUAUUUUAAGCUAUUUCUUGGUUUUACAAACUUCUAGUAAAAUAUUUUAAGCUUUUUCUUAGUUUUCGUUGGAUACAUGCUACCCAGUGCUCAUUCCUUUGGAUGUUACUUUCAAUAUUUUACCAAGUGGCUUCUGUUUUGAGCUGUUUUUCAUCUUACUUCGCAAUAAUGUAUGUACAUUUGCUGGCGCAGGAAUGUAUUAUUGAGGAGAUUCCGGAGAAGAAGGAACCUCCAGCAAAAGGUUCGAAGGAUAAAAAGGCUAAUGGACCUGAUUCUGGGAGAGCACCAAGUCUUGUAUUUAAGAUUACUAGCAAAAUUCCUUAUAAAACUGUUCGGAGAGGUAUUCUUUAUGUUUAAAUCAUGGAGUUCCUCUGGUGGUGAAUUUUCUUUUUUUAUUCAUUUUUUCAAAUUGAUCUGCCUUUAUCUUGGAGCCCACAAUGCUGUUGUUUUGAAGCCUGACAUGUUGAAUCAGUUAUAUAGCUCCGUCAGGUUGAUGGCUUUCUUAUUUCUCUCUUAUCAAUUAAUGAUCAUUUUGUUUGUAGUAAUUGUGCAUGGAUUCAAUAUAUCGUAACAUUAUUGAAAUUUUGUUAGAAAGCUGAUUGAUGCUAACAUAAUUUGUAUUUUACCUUGGGUAGUGCACAAAGCACGGCAAGGAUUGAAGAGCUGCUUCAGGACCAGAAUGUGAAGUGUAGGAGGGAUCGCUAUCAGAAACAGUCCGAACUCCUGUCUAAACUAACCCACCAACUUAGCAUUCAUGACAACCGAGCGGCUGCUGCCUCUAACUGGUCGGACGGUGGUGGUGGAGCAGGUAUGUGGUCUUUUGUUCAUAUACCAAGUGGAAAAGAUUGUUCAAUUUAACAUUUCCCUUUUGUCUGUUUAAAAAAUUAAACAUUGAACUUUGAGUAAAUAUCUAUAGUCUAAUGACAGUGGAUCUUUUCUUAACCUAAUUGUUUGCUGAUUUUGGAAUUAAAAAUUUUGUUCUGAACUUGAAUUAAUCGACUGUUUGAUUAUUGGAAAGGUUUCUCAGGUGACACUCAAGAAAUGCUAACCAAACCUAUUAAUUGCUUGAACUGUCAUACUAUUGAGCUGCUUUCUGACAAAAGAUUGUUAGAUUGAUUUGUUUGUACCAUUUGAUUUUAAAAUUUUUAUUUAUUGUACCAUUUAAUUAUUAUUAUUAUUUUUUAUAAGACCGUCAUUUUGAUUUUAAAAUGCUUGUUAAAUCUCUAUUUGAAACAUUUUGAUGAUGGAAGUAUUGGGUUAUGUAAUAUGCAGAAAGCAGCCCUAGAACAGGUGCCGCAUCAGGUGAUGACUGGAGAUCCGCAUUUGAUGCUGCUGCCAAUGGACCUGUAAGCCUUCGCAGCUACUCUCGGUCUGCAUCCAAUGGUCACAGCCGGCGUUACAGUGAUCCAGCCGAGAAUGGUGAUGUGAGAUCUGGUUCAAACUCGGGCAGUCGUCGUACUCCUAAUUGGGUGCCGCCGCCUCCGCCACCAACACAGUCAGGCUCCAAGUACUUUUAGGUGGCUUACAGAUUUUGGUUGACAAUUCAUAUAUUCUCUGCAUAUUUUUAGUGAGUGAAGGCCUGCUUAACCACCCAUGAUUCCAGUAGUUGGUUAAAUCACUUCUUUAGAAUCUUCAAAAGAGGGUGCUUUGUGUAAAUAGGACUCUAUAGUUCCUGAGCUGAAAGUCAGGAUUUUACGGCUUGCCCC